CUUUCUUUUUUUUUUUUUUUUUUUUUUUUUGGUUGAAUUUAAGAAGCUAAGAGGGGAAGGGGGAUUUGAACCUAGAAUCUAUAAAUCCUUAGCCAAUAGAUUCAAAGCUACUAUAGGAACGACUAAAUAUGUACUACUUGCCAUUUGUUACGAAAAUUUGAUCCAACACAAUUAUUAAUCGAGAAUAAAAGAGAGAAAAAAAAAAGGAGAAGUGAACACCUUAUAUUUUUUUGGCUUGGCAUGUUGCUCUUCCAUUCAAUUACUACUUUUCAUUCCUAUAUUAUCUUUGAGAAAUAUGCCGUCAUCUUAAUCAAAGAAUCAAUUCUCUGUUUCAAUUUUCAAGAACUGGGACAGGGGAAAUGUAGUCAGUGGGAGAGACCGAGUGCAUUGGUUUGUUGGAAAACUAAAACAGAGUUUCUUUUUUUUGGGAUAAUUUCCCCAAGAUUAUCAGCACUAAGUCGCAUCGUUAACCACCAUGGAAGAUGGAACAUCAUCUCAUUAACUACAUUCAUGGUCAAGAAAAUAAUCUAUCCCUUCAUUAGUACCCACGGUAUCCAAGAGUCGAACAAAUUUUGUCCAUAAAUAGGUAACAGAUUGCUGCUGUGUGCAGCUAGUUUAUAAGAUCGAAAAGUUCUAAACAGAACAACAUAAUGGGUAGUUGUGAAAGCACAGAGAAUUCCGGGCAUGUUGGGAACUCUACCGAGACAAUGACCGAGGAAAAGGAAGAGAAAGCAAAGGAGAUAGUCAAGGCAGUGGCUGUAGCAGCAGGAGUAGGUCUUGUGGCAUGGGGCAUUUGUAAGAUCCUGGGAGCAGCGGAAACAUCCAGUAACAGGAAAAUGAUGAAAGCACCAGGAAGGGACUACUACAUUUUCAGGGAUGAGUUCGAGCGUGACCCUGCUAGCCAUUUUCGCAGUCUUCGCGAGUGAAUAGGGAAAAGACUAGAUUAAAGGUUACUCCUAGUAGUGAAUAAAAGUCUUCUGCUUUGGUUGUUCUGCUGGCUGGAAAUAGUAGCAAUUAAGGCCUAAUGAAAAAUGUUACAAUUAUCAACUUAAGUCAUAUUUGUUAUUGCCCCAAGAGGCAGCAUAUCAAUGGAUGGUAGAAGCCAAUCUUUGCAAUCUGAAUCUUCCCAUUCCCAUUUAUGGUACGAGGAAAGGAAUCCAUACAAACGGCUGACACUCCAUAAACAACAGAGGACAAAGCUCAAUAAUAUAAAUUUUAGAGUUGUAAGCACAAACGCAUUCCAAACAUGAAGUUCACCAAACAAUUACAAGCAAUUUAAAAGGGCAGAAAGAAAUUUAGGACAGACUUCAGAAUUUAACUUUGCCAGCAUGGAGAGCACGGAAGUAUCCUUUGGGGUUGGCCACAAAGACAUGCCUCGGAAUCCGAAAGUUUGCUCCAGGGGCUUUCAUCAUCUUCACUGCCUUGACUCCGCAACAGCAACGAAUGCAGCGGCUAAAGCACCAAUACAGCACAAGUAUGACCAAACCUGCAACAACAAAAGGUGCACCAACACGGAGCCAGUAUUGUAGCCUCUCCUUUCUAGUUUCUGGUGGGAAGGCAUCGUCCAACCUGCCAAUCAGAAACAGACCAAAGUUUUCCAGCAUCAUGAACAGUUGCUUCAGCUUCUCCACCAGAUUGUUCAUCAUUUCAUCUGCCCCCACUGCUUUCAACUUUGCCUGUGUGCUGUUCAUCAUGAUCGUGCUUCCUUCCCCAAUUCCUCUCAUUUUCUCCUGCAGAUUGCCGAUCAUAAUAUCAGUUCUAAGUCUCAUCUUUCCUUGCUUGAUUCUCAAGUGAAAAGAGCAAAAAUAAUAACAGACCUUUGAAGGGUGGAAGUGUUAUUAAAGGCGAUUGAGUGCUUUAGCUUUAAUUGCGUUGUCCAAUAAUUAAGGUAGUGGUAGCUGCCACAUUGUUUUUCCCCGUAAUAGACUAGACUUUAUUAAGAGUAAUUAGAGUACUAAUACAAGUUGGUAAGAGGCUAAUAGGUGCUACCCAAUUAUCAGUCUAACACUAAUUGAUUUUGAUUAUGUUAAUUGGUGGGGACUGAACGGAUUGGGAGCAGGGCAGGGAUGGUCUAACAAGGUAGCAUUUUUUAAACGUUACCGUAAACUUCUUGUACAUCCUUGCAACAGAAGUAUAAUAUUUUAUUAUUGCUCAUAUGGGUCUCAUAUAUAAUAAUUGUAUCUCUGUUAUUAAAUUUUACAAGUAGUUCACGUAGAAUUACAUCUUAUUCAAAAAAUAUUAUAUCUUUCAAAACUGUUGCCAUAAACAACCGUUCGUGCUCUUGGUCUGCAGGGAUUGAUCAUCUCAUAAUUAGUGUUGCUAUCAACCUGUCAGCUUACCAUUUCCGCGCGAAUUGGGAACCGUAGAGUCGAGUAUUAAAGCGUUUCUAUCCAUCCUUCCCAAGGCCCACUAAUUGCCGGUAAUGGAAGCAGACCCAAGUUAGGCUGCUAAGUGCAGUAGAAUCCAAAUUCAAGUUACCUAAACCAGUAUAACUUCUUCCAAGGCAGAGAGACGUUCGACAGAGAUCAACAUCAUUAAGUAAUUUCCAGGACCGCCCCAUGGGAUGGGAGCAGUAACGCGGAAGGAAAGAACACAUACUUGGGCAUGCAUGUUAAUGAAACUGACUUUGCUAUUCCUAUUUCGUACUAUAUUAAGUUAUUGGCCAAGUAUAUCUAUGCAUUCUAGAAAUGAAUCUUGGAGUUUUUUUUUUUUUUUUUGCCAAAAUAACCUUUUUUUUUUCAAAAAUAUUCCCACAAUGAUUCAACUCCAAAUGUUAUUACUAAUCUAAUCUUCUGACUUUAUCCCCUAAUAAGGUGCAACCUCCUCCAUGCUUUCUAAAUCAAAUUCUUCAAACUCAAUCAAAUUCUCGUUACCACUAUUAUUAACAUAAGAGGUUCCAAACUCACGGGUAUCCAUCUAAAAUAAAAGCAUAAGACUCAUUUCCUCGGCCCUACAUGCAAUUCCCCUCGUAUUGCCACAUGCACAGUGAGUUCCCGUUCAAUAAAGUGUGACAAAAUCAAAACUAAAACUCCGAAAUGAGUUAAUUGAAUGAACAAGUGACGGAGAGUUAGGUAAAGACGUACUAAUAAUUCCAAUUUCGCUAGAUUUGUAGUGAGUUUUUCUUUUUUUUUUCUUUUUUUUUUAAUAGGAAAGAGAGCAUCAAAAAGAGAAAAUUACGGCAACUGGGAUGGAAAUAAACAAUCGAAAUUUUAAAUUUUGCUUUCCAUGUUUGGUGAUAAUUCCAGUUUCUUUGGAUUUGUAGUGAAUUUUUCUUUUUCUUAAUAAGAAGGAAAGCAAAAUUAUUGCAACUACAACGGAAAUGAACGGUCAAAUUUUAGAUUUUGCUCUCAUCUUUCGAAAUAUCGUCAGGUUUAUGUUAAGUAUUCAAGACUUCUACUCUCAUCUUUGAAAAUAUUGUCAGAUUUAUAUUAAGUAUUCAAGAUUUUUUUGGAAAGUAGGGUGACAAGUAAAGACGGAGUAGAGUACUAUAGUCAGAAAGAAGAAGAUACAUUCAGAACAGAGUAUUAUAGUCAUGGACUAUAUUAAUGGCUAAUGAAGAAUUUUACCCUUUUUCUCAUUUCCAUUUGAAUGUGAUCCGAUGGGUAACAGAUAAGGUUGCUAUGGGAAUAAUGUAUGAAAUUGAAUCAUUUUAGGAAUAUUUUUUGUGAAGGGAGUUAUUUAGGCAAAUAACUCUGAAUCUUGGGCAAACUGCAUCCAUCUUCCCAUUCUUAUUUUCACUAUUAGGAAAGUAGUAAUUCAUACAAAGCAGUAGUGAUAUCCCAGAAAUCACAAAGUUCAGAAACAGCUUUGUGAGCUGGGUCACAUUUGAAACAUAAAAAAUCCCAAAAUGACUACGAACAAUUGAUCUUCCAGGACACAGAGAGGAAGGCAGGACAAACUUCAUGUAUAUGCGCUACAACUAAUCACGACUAGUAUUUUUACGUUUACUAGCACGAAGGUCCAGGAAAUAUCCUUUGGGGUUGUCCUGAAAGGCAUCCCUACGGAUACGAGAGUCCCUUCCAGGGGCUUUCAUCAUCUUCCAGUUCGAUGGCUUAGUGCCGCCGCCGCCGCGAAAAUACACAAACAGCACAACUAACCCUGCUGCGACUAGAAACGGUGCAUUAACACGGAGCCAGUGUUGUGGUGGGAAGACCUCUUCCAACCUGCCUAACAAAACCAAACCAAAUUUUUCCGACAGCAAAAACAGUUGCUUCAGCUUCACUUGCAGAUUGUUCAUCAUCUCAUCUGCUCCCAUUGCUUUCAACUUUGCCAGUGUGCUGUUCACCAUAAUCAUGCUUUCUUCCUCAAAUCCCUUCAGUUUCUCCUCAAAUCCCUUCAGUUUCUCCAGCAGAUUGCUGAUCAUACUGAUCAUACUCUCAGCUCCCAUCUUUUAUUCUGUGUGCUACCCAGUGAAAGGACUCGGUAAAAAUCUGCUUCGACUUCUAAUUAAAAGCUUGAAGAACCUUUUGUGUUUGGCAAAAUCCAAUCAAGUGAGGGCGCUAGCCAUAAUAAGCUUGAUCAAGUUGUGAUUUUCUUUAUACCCACGUGAAGGUGAGAAUUUUCGGUGCACUAGUCGUAAAAGCGUUUCACUUCACUAGUAGCACUCACUCCUCAGUACUGCCACCAAAAAAGCUUCUUUAUUCGGCACAGCAGUGUAGCUAGCGAAGCAAGCAUUAUUUAUUGGAUCCGCACAUUAAUCCGGGACCCAGGUGUCUCCUAUCAUUCAUCGUCUUUGUUUAUUUUAGCCACUUCUUACUUUUCAACCAAAGAAAAAGAAAAGGAUUUAAAAACUAAGAAGACCAGAGAAGUCUUUCAAAAUUCAAAUACACGAGGUAGAUGAAGAAAAAAGGCCGGGGGUAGAGUUCAACAAUAUGAGGUCCCAUCUCAAGAAGAAGGAGAGCAGACUAAUUUGUCCCCCAAAAAUUCUUCUCAGAUUAUUAAUCAGCAACCACGAUUACCCAAACUACUAUUAAAGUUAAGUUAAUUCUUGAGUAUUUGGUUGGGGGUCCUUCCUUUUCUUUCUUUUUCUCUAUUAUACUUGAGGAUUCUUGAGUUGCACCAAGAUUUGGUUGGAUAGUACAAUGGAAGGUGAUGUGACUAAGGUAGAUUUAUGGUGGCCAAAAUCUUGGGUUCAGCCUAUUGGUUCCAGUUCCACCCAAAGCGAAAACGGUGACAAUAAAAUGGAUUUAGAUUAAGAAUCAGAAGCUCAUCAGCAUCACAGUCAAUUUGUUUCGAGUAUACAUGCAAUACAAUACUUGUGUGGAAUCAGAAGAUGUAAAAAGAUGCUCCAAGAGCCGACCUGUUUUAUUCGUCAUCAGGAUGGCAUCUGUUCCCCCAGCUUGCCGAAACUAUAGUAUAUAUCCGUUGAGGUAGGGAGCGUAGCUUUUACUUUUUUCGAUACGUUGAGUAGGACUACAGAAUUUGGAAAUUAAGGAAAUUGAUCCGUGAACUAAAAACCAUUGAUGGAUCUGCAGUUUGUGAACAUAUUCCUGGGAAAACGGCUCCUUCAAGCCAAGGAAAUUCUGUAGCACCGACCGCACAUUUUGGACCCAAAUAAUAAUGAAGUGGGAAUACGAUCAUGAUCUUUUUGUCUUUCAAAUGUUAUGUCAAUCUAAGUCACAAGUAACUAAAUGCUAUUUAUUAUGUGUUUAAAGAUAGAUAACGAAAGGCCAAGUCCUUAUUAGUUUUGUGCUUCAACACGCUAGCUAGCAUGGAUAAUCACAAUUUGAAGCGAUUAUUUGAAAAUUCGUAAGCCGUGCGGGUCAUCAGGUAAAACUUAAGUGCAAGCGUCUUGCAAAACUCACUACUUCCCUCCCUAACCAAAUAACCUCAAAUGAACAAACAAGAAUGCAUAUAAGUAAUAAAGCGGACAAACUUUCCAUUGACCAUCUUAUCAACGAUUUUGGGGUCUUGCAAAAGUCACUACUUGCCGCUUGCCACUGCUAUAUACUCCCUCCGUCCCACUUUGAUAGUCCUGUUUUCCUUUUUCAUCUGUCUCAAAUUGUAGUCCACUUUCCAAUUGAAAAAUGUAGUUGUAUUUUAAUUUUUCUAAAAUACCCUUAUUCCAUGUAAGUUGUUGUUACUAUAAACCUACCACGUUUAAUGAGAGUUGACUCUUUUUUUACCGCUACCAUCAAUUCAAGUUCCCAUAAAGUUGUACUCCAUUUAAUGUGAGAAUAUUUUAGGAAAAUAGCAAUCUAAAUUUACUUUUUCAACAAAGUUAACUACUUUUUUUUAAACUGUGUGAAAUAAGAAACAGGAAUACACAUCACUACUAUAUCAGAGUAAUAAAGCUACAUUCCAUUCACCAUCUUGUCAACGACUUUGGGAUCUUGCAAACCAGCUGCCGCUACUAUAUAAUAAAAAAACAAACAAUCUCAAGUGAACAAACGAGAAUACAUAUUAGCAAUAAAGCUACGCAAAAAAAAAAAAUAAAUAAAAAAUUAAAGGUAUGUCUUCCAACCCAGGGGACGGGCCGACUACAAAGAAGAAAGCAGCUGCUGUUGUGGCAGCUGGAAUAGGUCUUGCUCCAUUAACAUCGGGUAUUGCUGCAUUAGCAUGGGGAUCAGUCUCGGCCGAACCAGAGCCGCAAGAUGACAGGAAGAAGAUGAAGGCACCAGGAAGGAAUGGCGAACUCAUCUACAAGGAUGAUUUCCAGCGUGACCCAAGUGGCUAUUUCCGUCAGCUUCGCGUUGACAAAAAGAGCAAAAAAUAAAUCAGGGCUCACAACUAUUACAUAUUAUGAUCAUGGAAUUGUUGCAGUGUGAUUUGAUGUUUUCGGGAUCUACUGGUUGUGUAAUUUCCCGUUUCCUAGUUGCUAAUGGUAUUCUGCAUAUUUGUGUUUGCUAGAGUAUGUUCAAUACAUAUGUAAGAUCAGAGGCAUGCGUGUUCUCUGAUAUAUAUAUACACACACACAUAUAAUGGAUAUAAAAUAUAAUGGAAUUCUGUCGAUGUUACAGAAUUUCUUGGCUUGAAGGAGCUGUUUUCCCAGGAACAUGUUCACGAACUGCAAAUCAAUGGUUUUUAGUUCAAGGAUCAAUUUCCUUAAUUUUCAAAUUCUGUAGUCCUAUUAUGAAGUGGCAAUACAAUCAUGAUCUUUGUCUUUCAAAUUUUAUGUUAAUCCAAGUCACAAGUAACUAAAUUCUGUGUGAACAUUUAUUAUGUGUUUAAAGAUAGAUAACGAAAGGCAAAGUCUUUCAUGGUGGCCAUCAAUCAUUUGACAGUUAUGGUAACGCUUGCACCUUAAGUUUUCCCCGGUGACCCACACGCUUUAAACACAUCCUUUUAAUUUGACGGUGGUUCAGUUUCCAUGGACUGCAGUCCACCGACCAACCCAGCUGCCACUACUAUAUAAUAAACAAACAACCUCAAGUGAACAAACGAGAAUACACAUUAGUAACAAAACUACAUUAAAAAAAAUUGAAGGUAUGUCUUCCAACCCAGGGGAGGGGUCUAAUACAAAGAAGAAAGCAGCUACUGCUGUGGCAGCUGGAAUAGGUCUUGCUGCAUUAGCAUUGGGUAUUGCUGCAUUAGCAUGGGGAUCAGUUUCGGACGAACCAGAGCCGCAAGAUGACAGGAAGAAGAUGAAGGCACCAGGAAGGGAUGGCGUACUCAUCUACAGGGAUGAUUUCGAGGGUAACCCAAAAGACUAUUUCCGACGGUAUCGCGAUGACAAAAGGAGCAAAAAAUAAAUAGGGGCUCGCAACUCUUACAUGUCAUGAUCAUGGAAUUGUUGCAGCUGUAGUGUGAUUUGAUGUUUUCGGGAUCUACUGGUUGUGUAAUUUCCCAUUUCCUAGUUGCUAAUGAUAUUCUGCAUAUUUGUGUUUGCUAGAGUUUGUUCAAUGCAUAUGUAAGAUCAGAGGCUUGCGUGUUCUCUGAUAUAUAUAUAUAUAUAUAUAUAUAUAUAUAUAUAUAUAUACGUAUAAUGGAAAUAAAAUAUCUUAGCAGCUUGUGUUUUAAGUUAAUUUAUGAGUUCCAGAAUGCAUGUAUGGACAGGAAAAAGAGCAUUAUUGUUUGGUGCUGGACAAACAACACUAGACAUGUUGAAUUCGCCUUGGCAUCCACCAUACUUUUGCCAAGAAAAUUAAUCAGAGCUACAAGGAAGCACAACAGAAUACUUGGAAAACAAAAAAUUGUCAAGGUCUCCCCAUCUUCCUUGCUUGUGCUCCCUAGUGAAAUUAAUCAAUUUAAAAAGAGAUGAACUUCUUGCUAGUCAUUACACUGUUCAAAAAACUUUAUAGAUAAAAAAAGAGUAGUACGUUUUCCUCCCAUAGACAUACACAUAUAUGGUGUUAUAGACGAGUUGAAGGAAAAAAUGAACAAUAUGCAUAUGUUUAGAGGAGGAGGAGAAGAGUCUCGUUCCAUUUCUAGGUCAGGGCGAUAUCCGUUAAGAUAACAACGAUCGUUUUCAAGUGAUUCUGGAACUCGAAUCUAAAUACGUCCAUUACAGGCCAAGUCCUUCCUACGAAGGACAAGUCGUUGCUGGUACGAGAUAAUUGCAGUAUACAAUCACUUCACUGCCAUAAGAAAGUCAGUAUAGAAUUUCCGCGAACUGGGUAGUGGGAACUGACAGCUAUUCCUUCCUUCCCAAUCUUUCACAUUUACCCACAAAACGCAGUUGACUCUCGUUGACCAAUUUCUUAAUUAAAUCCCAUCCUGCUUUAAAAAAAAUAAAAAAAAAAGAAGUGGAAAGAGCAUAAAUAAUUUCUCGUAAGAUUUGCAGAUGUUUGUUACUUUAUCCCCUCAAAAAUUUGGCUGUGGGAGCUCCAAAUUUGAGUUCUUAAUUUUUUGACUGUGCAAUCGGAUUGCUAUUUCUUGAAGUUUUUGUAGAAAAAUAUAUUAUAAUAAUUUGAUGUAUGUGAAAUAAAUUAAUAUUAUAAUUAAAAAUUAUAUUUGCAGAAAACGUAAAAAUUUCUUGAGAAAAAAAAAUGCCAAUUCAAACAAGCCUAAUCCUUUCGCACAGCACCAAACAACGCCAAAGUGACUUCUAUCAUCCGAUGUAGUGCUUCUUCUUUUUUUCUUUUUCUUUUUUUUAUUCUAACUUUUCAAACAAGGCCUAAAUCGUACGCACAGCACCGAUCAAUCAACGCCAAAGUGACUUCUAUCAUCCGAGGUAGUGCAUCUUCUUUCUUCUUUCUUUUUCCUUACUUUUUUCUUGAUCUACUUUCCAAGGCAAGAUGAUUGAUCAACAGAAGUUAAGAGAAAUAAAUAAAUGAAAAGAAAAAGUUUGAUAGCUAAUGGUUACCUACUCACGAAGCUUAACUAUAAAGAAAAAUAGGAGAAUCGAUUGUAGUUUCCUUCUCGAGGGGAACUUUUUCAUGGUUGGAUUCUCAGUAUCUUUGCUCCUCGUUUGUCCCUACCUUCUUUCUACUUCUUAGGAGUUAAGAAUCACAAAAGUAGAAGAAAAGGAAUAUGAGAAAUGCAAUGCUACUUGAGUAGCUCCUUGAGAAGGUAGGGCCCGAAGGGGAAGCCUGAUCAAUUGCUUCCUUUGAGGUGAUCAAGAAUUAUUUGCAUGAAGAAAGUAUCAAGUCUUAUUUACAUCAAAAAAAAAAAAAAGGGAGAAAAUAAAAAAGAAUAAUAAUAUGUUCACCAGUUAAAGUUCCCGUGUGUUCAUCUCCGAAGAGACUUCUUAUAUUUCCUUUUCCAAAUUUUCGUACUUUCAUGGCUCUAGAAUUUACAUGAAGAAGAUUUUUUGUUUUGCUUAAGUGAGAAAGGCUUGAUCCUCUGAUUUUUGCAGUGAUCUGCAAGUCUAGUUUGUAUUUUAGCUCGAUGAAAAUAGCAAAUAUCUUGCUAAUUUUCUUGCCAAUUUUGCAACUGAUCAAAGAUAUGUACACAAAACUUAAGAAUAUGUUUCUUCAAGAGUUUGAAGCAUUUAAGGAUCAUAUAUAUAUAAUCACAGGCCCAAAGCAACAUAACCAUCAUCAUCGUCGUCGUCAUUACACAACCAUCUUCUACGACCAACAUGUUGACGUUUGAUGAUAUGAAAGAGUUACAGACACCAAAAGCCAGAAGGGAUUUUUUUUUUUUUUUAAAAAAAAGGCAAAUCUGAGAAGAGAACCAUAGCAAAGAUUCCGUUAUUGGUAGGAGGCAGGCUUUGUAGUUUAUAUAGUUGUAGUGGUAGUGAUCUCUUAGCAGAGUUGAUCACCAGGAUGUGCACGAAGAUUUCUAAAAUAUGAUUUGGGGUUGGCCUCAAAUGCAGGUCUUGGCAUCCUACAGUUUCUGCCUGGAGCUUUCAUCAUCUUGACUCUUCUCCCGCCUCCACAUUUGCAACAGCACUUAUAGCAGCAAUAGAGCAACAGAGACAGAACAACGCCAGCAAUGGCAAUUGGUAAAGCAAUCCGCAGCCAGUGAUGCAGCUUCUCCCCUCUUGUUUCCGGUGGAAAUAUCUUGUCAAACCAUUCCAAGAAUUGCCCCCAAAGGUUUUCCAUCGCUUGCCAUAGUUCCUUCAGCUUCUCCACCACAAACUUUUCUACGCUCUCUAUCCCCAUCUCUGAUCACUCCUCUCUAUUCAGUACUCAGUCCCUGCUCCCUUUGAUUGCUUCCUUACAUAUCUGUGUCAUUAGAAUAAAUAUCCCCCGUUAGUUGACUACGCUUGGACAAUGGUCCACAAGGGGGAAAAAUGAUUGCAUUUUUCCAUUUAAAAAAUAUUAUUAUAUUGUAAUAAUUUUACGAUGUUAAUAGUUUACAAGCGACAAAAAAUGUUUAUGAAAUUUUGAUCUAGUGACUAAAAUUGUAAUUUCAGAAAUCAAAAGCCUUGGAUUCAAUUUUUUUUUUUUUAAAAAGAAAUGAAAAGAUAAUUACAAAACAUACUUAAAAACCCAAAUUUCCAAAGGUUAUAUAUAUAUUUUUCAACCCUCUCGUCUUCUAAGAGCAGAGUGGCUCCAUAUUAAUGCUAUAUUGAAAUGGGUAAUAUCCAUUUUUCCGGUAGUAUACGCAUGAAAAUUAAAUGCAUGCCAAAGUGGCUCCAUAUAUUUUCAUUCGGUGAUUACACAGCAAUUUAAAUGUAACAAUUUUGAUAUGAAAUGAGAAAAUAGUAGGAAAGCAUGCCCACCUCCAUCAUUCAAACACUUAAACCAAAAAAAAAAAAAAACUCGAACAUGGUAAUAUCCUUCUCGAAUAGAAUGUUUUCAAUUUUUUUUUCUUUACUACACAAUUUAUUUAUUCUAUUCUGUAACAAUUUUUUCCUUCGAUUCAUUUUAAGUACUAAGUAAAUCCGAAAUCUUCGUUGCGUUUGGAUUGCAUUUUUCAUGAAAAAAUUACUAUAACGAUUUGAUAUAUAUGAAAAAAAAUAAUAAUAAAAAAAUAUGAUCACGAAAAAUGUCGUUUGACGGAUCCAAACAAGGCUUCAUUCCCAACCAAACAUGAAAACAAGAGCCUGCACUUUCCCGAUUAAAGUUGACGACUUGACCCAAUAGUCUUGCUGUUCCUAGUCUUCAUCAUUAAUCUUGUCAAAACCGAAAAAAAAGUCUUCAUCAUUAAUAUGGAACCGCUGAAUUUUCCCUUCCACAAUUUUGUCGGGAUAUGUGGAAGAUUGGGAAUGAUGGAUUAUUACUUCCAACCAAAUUCCAAGAAAUUCCGCUAACCUAACCCUCGUUUGGAAAAGUAGUAUGGGACUGGGCCCCAAUCCAUUUAGUGCAAUUGACGCAUAGGCAGUACGACAUUAGGAAUUAAUAAUGUGGUUUAACAACCUCCCCAAUUUUCCUAGAAUUUUCCGUCACAAAAGCCUGGUAACCAGCAAUCAAUUAGCUAGAAAUUUCAAGGGAAAAAAAAAACACUAGGAAGAUUAGGAAACUUCGAAAAGGAAUAGAAAAAAAAAAAAAAAACUGCCAUCCACAAAUUCUUGCACUCGUCCUGACUACUGAUUUCAUGAUCAGGAUCCUAGAAAUUAACUAAAGAGACCAGAGUUGUCAAAGAGCAAAAUAACAGUCAGGAAAAUUUCGAUAUUAUUGCAUUUUAAACUUUUUUUUUUGAGCUCCAAGGGAUGACAAAAAGGUGAAAUCAAGAAUUUUCCAGGAAUACAUUUACAACAGCACCAGCUACUACGCAUAUGCAUGGCAUGGCACGGCGUGCUCUGUAAUUGUGCCUUUUCAAGUAGAGACCUACAAAUGGUAACUGUAACACAAAACUCACCUCCCAUAGUCUAUUUGCGAUGUGUCCUCAACAUGGCAUUUCUUCAACACACUCUCGCUAAAGCCCAGCAAGCAGACUAGUUUGAAUUGUUGAGCUAGGCUUGGUGAAAAGACUCUGCACCGUUAAAGCUAUUCAAAACUAAACUCGUCCAAUCUAUCUACAUCUCCAACUCCAAAAAAUGUUUUGCCACCUAAACGUUCAUCUGAAAAAAAAAAAGGGAAAAUCACCAUUAAGACAAUUCAGUAUAUUUGAUGAAUAGCCACAUGUAGCCCGUCAUUUUUCCGGUCAUAUUCGAUCAAAAUUGUUUAGGAAAACCAGUUACUACAUCACCAGGGUGUAAAAGCUUAAACCAAUGUGUGGAAAGGAGGGAAAUACAGCUUUCCAACUCAGACCAUAAUAUACAUCCAAUGAGAGACACACAGGAGGGAGAAGUUAUAACGUACCGUAUUUGGAAGCUAAUAAAAGUUCUGACAGCUGAAAGCUAAAGUUCUAUCUCCUCCUCUUCCUGCCUUUCCCCAAUUGACCAGAUUUAAAUGCAUGUUCUUGUUCUUGAAGGAAAGCCCUUGCUUUACCAUACUUCUCGGCUCUUUCAUCCUCAAGUAGCUUCUUGUCCUUUUCCUUCACCUCAAACAAGAAGUAAUUAUCUUUCCGAAGUUCACGAGCAGCACCUUUAGCUUCACGUUUUAAAAGUUUCUUCAACUUUCUCCUCUCAGCUCGUUCACGAUCUGGAUCAUAAUCUCUCCCCUUUACAAAGCUAGAGGAUUGCGUCCAACAAUUAAAAAUCAGGCGGCAGCUCAUACUAAGUAUUAUUUUUUAAGAGUAACAAAGACACAACUUGUCACAAACAUACUUAUCCUCAAAUUUCGGAUUAAGCAUCUUGAUUGGCACCGGCUUUUGCUUUCUCAUUUGGAGUGGCUGACGCAAAACAUGAUGCUCAUCAGCUUUCUUCUCAAUAAAUUGGGCCACAUCUCUGAGCUUGUCUUUCAACAUUUCUGGCAUGCAAUGUUGCCCUGCCAGCUUAUGCAAUACCUUUGAUAUCUGUAAAAAUAUUUCGGGAAAGGAAUUGAAUCCUUCAUAGAGGUUGACAAAUCCUUUAAGAGUUUCAGCAACUGCUGCGAUAACACUAGCCCUGUCAACAAAAGCAUUCGCCCUUAAUUAAUACUCAUCAACCUCAAAAGGGAACAUCUGUAGAAAAAUAUGCUGCAUCAGAGGCUUAACAAUCAGGAAAAACAUGAUUAAAAAAACAGCACCAAACAGGUAUACACGAUGUAUCCAACAUCAACAUAUAGUCAUAAAGCACAUAUCUAGCUGCCACAAUUUUGAUAGCAUUCACUGCAAGUGAAAUAGCCCCUUUACACCAAUUCUUUCUGAACAAUUUAUGCCUUUCCUUUGAGAAGUAUAUCAGUGAUGUCAUGCACUAGAUAAAUAGAGACGCUCAACUAACAAACACAGUGUACCAUUAACUACAGCAAGAAAAAAGACUGACCUGAAAUUAUCAGAGUUGAAAUGAGGAGAAUCUUCUGGCAAGUCGAUCAGCAUAAGAAAAUCUAAACGGUUGAUCUCCUUCACACUACUCUUGAUACAGAGCAGAGGUUUUAGGGUUUUGAUUUCCAUAAGAUGGUGUAACUGCAUUGAAAACAAAUGCAUAAAGUAGCCUCAUCUACUGUACCUUAAAGGGAAAUUCCCACUAAUGAUUGGCUAAAAGCAAGUCAAACAAUAACUAGUAAAAGAAAUAGGCAAGAGUCAAAACUAACUUCCAUGAUUGGGAGAAAACAAGGAAAUCUUUUGCUAUGUAGAAAAAAUGCUUUCAACAAGAAGAACCCUCGAGAGAAAAAAUUAUGUAUAGGGCACAUGGGAACUGGCAAUAUGCUAUGAAAACCUAAUAUAUUGAUUGAGCCAUACCUGAUGGUCAUCAGCUGAUCCUUGAAUCUUGUCAAAAGCCGCCAAGAGCAGAGUUCUAAUGAAUGUUAAAGCCUCAGGACAAAGUUUUCGGGAUUGUUUCGUGACCUGCAAACAAUUUCACAAGUUGAAGAAAGUGUAGACUUACAAGUGGCCUGGGCGGUACACCCUAAUAAGGUACAUCUAAUGGUAAAACAAAAAAUAAUAAUAAAAACACUAAGACAAGUUGAGUGCACCUACAGAGAGCACCAUAGAGCAUAAGAAGGAACCAACUACAAUAUCCCGACCAGACACAACCUGACACCGCAUCAAAUAUUCACACAUCAGCAAGAUUGCUGGUGUCAUGACCACAUGACGAAAAUCGGAGCACGGAAAGACCAUGGACCACAGCCUCAAAAGAAAGAUUGUUUUCAAAGAAGGCCAACAGCUUUUCCCUAUGAUAAUGGAAUAGCAGAAAAUGUGAGAUAUAUUGAAGAUGGUCCAGAUUAUGCAGGAAAAUCUUUGCAGUAUACUAACAGUAAUGCCAGAGAACUACAAAAUUUAAAAUGUCAAUCACAUCCAAACCUGUAGUUUUAAUGUUGUCAGAGAAUUGUGCCCGAGUAUGUAAUAGUCGUUGACGAGCACAUAUGGCAGCAAAGUAUGGGAUCUCCGCACUCAUUUCCAUCAAUGGCUUCACAAGCAAAUUCAGCAGCUUGAAGUUCAAUGGCUUCUUACUUGCUAAAACAGCAAAGUAUUGCAAUAGAACACCAUAAAACACCUGGCAAUAACAAUUGCAUUGAUUGAUAUCAGUUCAUCUGGAAACAAUAUACAGAAUGCCAGCUCCAACUUGCAAGUUCUAAACAAGAAGAAUCACUUCACGCAUACUAGCACCAUGCGAUCUCUGUCACAGUAUUUGACAAACAAAUAUAUAUGGCAAAGUUAAAAAGACAAUUGAUAGACAUCACAAACAUCAAUCAUACACUAAUUUGUAUAUGGCUAAAGCAAAUGAUAGUCUCUUGUUUCAAGGGUUGUCAAUGAGAUGUUUCAUUACAGAACAAGAGAGGAAAAAGAAAACAAACAUUUCCAAAACCAUAAUCAAUAAAAUAGCAAAUCAAGAAUUAAAGUUCCAUACUUGCAUUUUCUUUCUGUUUUCUGCUGCAACAUGGAUCGCAUUGAAUGCACGAAUUCUCCUUAUUGCUUCAACAAUUUGAUCAUCAGAACAGUUCUCCAACAAUGAAGUAAAUUCUUCCAGGUUUUUUGGAGCUUCAAUUGUAUACGGAAGUUCCCCUUGCUGAACCGAUUGUUGCUUGGCAAUUGCUUUCUGGCUUUCAGUAUCAGAUAAGUUCAUUUGCUUUUCCUUCUUUUCUUGUUCCUUCUUCUUUCUUUCCACCCUAUCACCGUCACUAUCUUCAUCAUCCUGCAGAUAAGUAUCAAUUUUGUCAUCAUCACUCUGUUCCCAGUCUUUCACUGAAUGAGUUUUGUCAUGUUCAUCAUCAUCCUCAUCAGACUCUUCUUCACUAUCAUCUUCACUGCCCCCAGAUUCCUCUGUAGAAGCAGCAUCCUCACUCCCAAGAUCUUCUGCAUUUUCCCUUUGCAAGAUCUGUUGAAUCCAUCCCAAUUUAGUUUUUUUGUCUUCAUGUGAAAAUGAGUCACCAAGAUCAUCACCAGAUAAAGAUCUGAAUUGUUUGGAGGAUGCAUCAUUAUCAUCUGAACCAUCAGGUUCUUCAUCACUUAAUUCAUCAGCAGCAACCAUUCUUUUCUGGCGCUCUUCCUGACAUUGUGGAACAGCAUGAAAGUUAACAGAAGUUCCUAUAAGGUUUAUUUUUCCAACUUCCUACAGUCUAUAUCGAUGAUUUAAAACCCCCCCCCUCCCCCAACAAUAUACAUAUAUCCAUGUCCUUUCCGAUAAAGGAAAAGCACUGCACAUAACAUUUCCCCUUGUCUUCAUGAAGUAGAUUAUGAAAUCUACUGAUAUUCCAAUCCAAGACAUCUAUAUGCAAGCACAAAAAUCACAAUUGGGCAGGUGCCGGUACCAUCAUUGAGCAAUACAUACAAAUAUCAUCAAAUACAAAUCAUUACACAGCAAGGAAAUCAUGUAAACUACACUCUGUUUUACUCAGGUGCAACGAAAAUUGCCAAAAGAGGGUCUACUGCCAAAUGGGAAGCCAAAAACGAACACAAUACUAUGACUGGUUUUGUAAUGUUGUUAAUUAAGAUACAAGACUUCCAUGACUUACUGUAUUCUGAAAAGAAGAAGAAAAGGGCCAAGAGAAUUGUAUAAAGAUAAUUUCAUCCCUAAUUGAGCUUAUGCGUUGUGGCAUAAUUUUCAUCAUAAACGACUCUCCUAAUUCAUAAGGAGAAAACAUUUUUUCCCUUUCUUUUCGGGCUCCCAAAAGAGAGACUUAGUUUAUAAGUAGUAAGAUGAUCUCAUCAGCAACUAAAAAUACCUCCAAUUGCUCCAAGCGUUCUUUCUCCUCUUGUGCAAUCUCUUCAGCUGACUUUGUACGGUCUGAUGGGCGAGCACGCAUAUCCAGUGCCAUCUCACUUACAAGUUUGUCAUAGGAAUCAGGUUUUUCCUGUAAGGUCAUUAUAGCCAUAAUUAUUCAUAUAAAGUCAAGUAAGUAAUUGAAUUGAACAAGAGAUAUAUAAGAAAACCACACAGUUGGAGGGUAAAAAAUAUGAGAUUAAGGCCUUAUGAAGAAGCGUGCGGUACAAUAGCAUCAGAUGGACCAACAUGACAAAGAAAAUAGAGGAGCUUUAAGUUAUCAGAAAUUCAUUUAACAGCAACAUAAGUGAGGAACCAAAAAUAAAAGACAGAAAACAGUUUCUAAGGGAGUAGAGAUGUACUUACCAGUCGAGUAGCAGUUUUGUCCAGGGCUGGAGAUGUGUCAUGUUUCUUUUCUUCAUUUUUAGAACUGCUCUUAUUAACAAGGGCUCUCAAUGCAUUCAUCUUGUUUGGUUGGGUCAACGACAACAGUGCCUCAGACUGCACCAACGAUGUAAAUUCUUGGUCCAGUUGAUCAACCAACUGCUCAUUUUCCUCCUUAUCCUUAGCCUUCUCGGCCUGGAAGAAAGCAAUGGAAAUACACAUUAUCGAAAAGAUCAAGUAACCAUGCUUUUAGACAGUAAACAAGUUACAUAAAGACACAACCUUAAAGAAUUUACUCUUGGAAAUUAUCUCCUCCAUCACUUCUCUUUUGCUUUUCUGCCUCUGAAACAGAAAAAUCACAUGCAUCAGGAGCACGAACAAUUUCAUAAAUAAUUUCCAAGGGGAUACUAAACUACUUUAGACGUAUUGAUGCCAAACUGCUACAAGUUAAAUGCUUAAAUGACAUUUACAUAACCUCACACCAAACUGGCAUGCAUAAACUAAUAUGACAACCCAAUUUGGGAAUAACAGGAAGCCUCAAAACACAUGUAGAAAAAAAAAAAAAAAAAAAACAUAGAUACUAGUCUUUUUCUCAUCCUAUCAACCCCAGGGGCUUCACACACACACACACAGUGUCAAGGCAAUCAAAAGAGUUUAUGGAAGAGAGCAACCAAUUGUGAUAUUAUGAUUAAUCAUGAAAGAAACAAAAUCUCUACUUUCUUGCAUAAAUCAACUACUUGAAAUACCAUGUAAGAAAGGUAGCUAAAAUGUAUGAGAUGGGGGAUGAGAGUCUCACGGUUUCCUGUCCCGCUAAACCUGUUUGCUGAGCAUUCUGCACUGCAGUGAAAUUAAGCUCUCCCAAAAUAUCUGACUUCUCUGGCAGAAAAAGAUUUAUUGCAAUUUAGUCAUAGCAUAGAGGAUAAAAAAUUGAGGAAGGACAACAUAGCUACAACUAUCAAAUUUAUGGACUAAAAAGUUUAAAUGGUAAAACUAAGAACAUCAUCAAUAUCUUAUCCUUCCCUAUAUCGUAGAACUGCAACAAAGGAUGAGCACGGAUUGCAGAUGGACCAGCUAUACUCCAAAGAAGAACAGAAUUGAACACAAGACAAGGCAUCACAUACUUAACAUGAUAGGGGCAUGCUCAGAAGUAGCAUUUUUCCACAAACAUUAACAACAUGCCAACACUUUUAAAACAACCAUGCCAUGCAUUACUCAAUACCUAAGAUCAGAAAGAUCUUGCACUUUAGAUAAAUAAAACACAAAAAAGUGAACAUGUAUUAAUCACUAUUAUCUCAACAACCACAUGAAUCACUAUUACUAACAUGCUCAAGUUCUAGAUUUUUAUCUACUGACAGAUCUAAAUCUACAAGUUGAAACCUUUGCACAACUGAAAUAGCUUUUAAAUCAGGGAUAAAAACUGGCCCAGGUUCUUCUGCUUUCACGAUAUUUAAAACAGGGAUAAAAGCAGUGCCCUGAUCAUCAACAGUUAUGUUCGAAUUUUACAUGUAUUUACCUCCACCGACAAAUGACACCCACAAUCUUACAGUUGGAGAUGUUUUUGAAAUGAAAGAAACCAAUGGGAAGAAGAAUGGAUAGACCUCCCACAAUGGAGUUCUGAAAAGUUGUUCAGUUAGUGUGAGUCACAUUAUGUAUUUGUUUUCUCACUUGUGUUAUUUUCUAAAGUCCAUCUUAUGCUCGUCUAUCCAACUCAAUCACAAGAGAACAUUAACAAAACCACAAUACUACAUUAACCUACUAGCACAAAAAAGAAGCAAUUUUACUUCAUUUACUAAAACAUCACAUACAUUUAUACAAGGUAUGCAUUUGUAAGCCGCUAAGGAUUAUAUACAUACUUGCAUUUCCUGUUGACCCGUCAUCCACAUCCUCAUCCUCAUCAAAUGGUAUUUCAUCAUCAAAAUCAUCCUUUUCUGGAAAAAGACCACCUUGAAUCUCAAGUUCAUCCUCUUCCCCAUCAGAUAAAUUAUACUUGCUUUUCUUGCUCAACUUCAGCUGUCAUUGAUGGGAAAAAAAGGAAAAAAAACCGGUCUUACACAUACAUAGAAGCAAGAUACAAUAACAUUGUAGCAAUUAAAAAAGACAAGCAAGAAAAACUUUUGGUUACAUAACAAAACCUUUCUGAUCCAACUCACCUGCCUUUCACGUUGAGACCUCAUAAUAGCCUUAUCAAACUCCCCAAGCAAUUCAUUUUGCUCCCCAAUUCGCUUAUCCAGAAAAACAGAUGACUUUCCACUCUGUUCAUACUCCUUCAACAGCGUCUUCUUCCUCUGCAUCCCAAAUUAAAACCAAAAAAGGAAAAUCAACAACAAAACAUCCAAGCACAACACAAUUCAAUCCAAAGAAACCAAAAAAAUUUCUUUUUUUUUUGGUUUUGCAAUUCACUCCUAUUGAAUUUCUUGCCAUAAGUUGUAAUCAAAUUGACCUUUUCAAUGGCAAGGGACCGAGCUAGGCCUAUACGACGUUGUUCACCCUUGCGCUUUUUACCGAGGAUAUCGAAUUUGCGACGGGACCAAAUGGUCUCAAAUGGGUUCGGUUGGGGGGCUUUUUGCUUCAUUGCUACUGCAUUUGGACCUGAUCUUUUGUUGCUUUUCUUUUUAUUUUUCUUCGUCUUUGUGCCGUCGGAGCUUGAUUUCUUCGCCAUGGGAGCUCUUCUUUACUUCUCAGAGGAAUUUGGAACUGGAUUAGAGCUAACCAGACGAAAAAGGGUUUAGGGUUUAAGGACUGGGGAGAAAGAAGAAGAAGAAGAUGGCGAGCUGGGAUAAAUUGGGCUGGGCUCUUACACUCUAUGGGCUAUAAGGUCUUUCAACAUCCACGGUUUUGUCCAACUAUUUCCUUUAGUUCUUUUAUUGGGCCUUGAACGAAAGAAAGACCACGUAUUCUAGGCUACAUGGAUAUCCUGUGGGUAUUCCCGUAGUUUGAUUUGUUGUUUACGACGACUAAUUCAUAUAAUUUGUAGUUUUACUACUACAUAAUUUGUAGUUUAGUGGGACUGUUCAAGUUUUUUGAGGUUUAAGAGUAAAUAUUAGUCUUAUAAUCGAUCUGGUAUUACAUAAUACCAACGUUGAAGUCAAAAUAGCUUGUUGGAAUCUAAUACGGUUCAGCCCGAUUGUUUUACUUUUUACAUUAAUUUGAUGUAUAAUUACAUUACACUAUUGUGUUCGGAAUAAAAGUAGUGUACAUGAAUAAAAUAUUUGACAUUAUUUAGUAUAAUAUUAUGAUGUAUUUAUAUGUAAAAAAAUUUAAACAGAUACAAGAAGUGAACAGAACCGUACAAAACACAAUUGUCCCGAGUCCUUGUCUAGCAUUGAAUGUGAUCUUCCAUCGCUUCGCGCACUAUGUUAGUAACUCAAUGGUAAGGUUCAUAACAUUGGUCUCAGGAAAAACAUGUCAUGAAUGAUAGUUUUAUAUACAUGGUAUAAAACAUUCUUUUAUUUGAAUAAAAAAAUUGAAUUAGACUGACAUAUUAAGAAAAGUUAAAUUCUGAAUCUUACCCUAUGAACAUCAUUUAUUAAGGGUCAGGAAACAAAAAGUAGCCCUUUCAUCCAUGUACUCAUGAAUGCAAUUAUAAAGGUGUUGUCAAAUUGCAUUCAUAUAUGGGAAUGAAGAAGGAUGAAUGGUCAAAUAGAAGUAAUAGUCCAAAGGGAUUGAUUAAUGAAACAAGUUAGGUAACAUCUUUUGAGAGUAAAGGUAGAGAAGGAAAUGGUUGAAUGAUUAGCAGACUACCAAACGCAUAAUCCUAUUAGGGAAGUAAUCCAAUGUAAAAAAGGCUAAUGUGCAUGAUUCUUUUUCUUUUUCUUUUUUUUUCCCCCUUGCGGUUGCAUGCAAUAUUCAAGCUCAAAGUCUAGAAGGGAAGAGUCAAAUUGGAAGCAAUUAUUAGGAUACGCAAAAAAGGUUGAUGCCCCCUAGGUUGUCAGAGAUAUGUCGAGUCUACUUCUAUUUUGUUUCCUUUCAUCAAAGGUCCACCAAAAAAAAAAAUUCAGAUGGGCGUGCUGUUCAUCCGUCUGAUCCGAUGGUGGUUCAGUCCCUUCCGAUUUAUCCCUGAGCCUCCUUAGACCCGCCCCUUCCCCUUAGUAUUGGAUAGAUUAGGCUUAUCGUCUCCGGCAAAAAAAAAAAAAAAAAAAAUCAAAGGUGCACCAAAAUUAUUCCCAAAAUUUCCUUUCACCAAAAUUAAUAUGUUUUAUGUUUCAUGAGUAAUUAAUUACCUGACUGCAAGAUUUUUUUUUUGUUUUUUAACAUCCCUAGUUUAAGCUUAUGUUCAGUUGAAGUCAUCCCGCAUUCUUUUCAUCGUAUUGCUAGCUAGUUCUGUCAGCCAUGCGUGCGCGACGCGCGAAGAAAUUAAGAAAGAAAGAAAGGUCGUGUGCUUGCCUUUCAAUGUCUUUAGCAUGAAGCCGUCAUUUAAAUUAAUCUCUUUCGGUCUUACAUAGGGCUGCAAACGAGACGAGUCGAAUCGAGUUUUGAGCUAAUCGAACCGAGUCUCGACUAAAUUUUACCAAACUCGAACUCGAGCUCGAGCUCGACGAGCUGGUAAUUUUCGAGCUCGAGCUCGACUCGAAUCAAGUCGAGCCGAGCUCGAGCUCGAAAAAAAUAAAAAAAAAAUAUUUUUAUUAAAAAAAAUAAAUAAAAUAAUUUUUUUUCCGAAUAAAUAAUAAAAUAUUAAGGAUAUAUCCAUAAUUUCACUAUGAAAAUAAAAAAUAAAAAAAUAUAUAUAUAAUAUACGUAAUUUUAUUAUUAAAUAAAAAUAAAAAUAAAAAAAAUAUAUAUAUAUACUCAAGCUCGCGAGCCGGCUCGCGAGCUAACGAGCUUAAUAUUCUGAGCUCGAGUUCGAGCUCGAGUUUGACUCGAGCUGGCUCGAGCCGCUCGCGAGCGGCUCGAUUCGUUUGCAGCCCUAAUCUUACAUAUUGCUCUGAUAGACAUCUUUAGUGCUGUUGUCCCGUCUAGAGGGCAAAAAUUUCAAUACAAGGAGGGCCGAGAUAAGUGGCAAUGGUGGCAACUUCACCGGACACUGGUGCAAAGAUUUAUCUCAAAAAUAUAGUAAUUUGGAGUCCCUCCUCAUGAUUUCGCCCUCAACAAGUGUCAUUAAAGGAUUCGAAGCUUUCUACUGCCAUCAAAACAUCUUACAGAAGAUUUUGGAAUGAUCCCUCUGUUGAAAUGAUUCCAUGGAGUAUAAUAAGCUGUAAACUGAUAAUCAUCUUUCUUUUAGAGAAAUGUUGGAACCAUGAAUUUUGCCGACGGUGGGCUACAGGCUGAGUCAAGAUCACUUCAAGGUCACGUAUUCAUCAGUAGGACAACUCCGACAUGUUUUCUGCUUUUCUCUUUAGUUAUCCCCAUGAACUCAAAUAAAGUAUGCCCUGAUUCAGUCAGCAAUUGCACCAUCCAAGGAAAUUUAAAGUGGUCAAGGGAUCCCUUCAACAAGAUACCUCAUGGCCUAGCUAAAGUUUUACAGUUGUAAUGGGCUUUGUAAUUAGUUGUGAGUUGAGUUGAAGGGUUCAAUUUAAUCAUAUCAUUAUUUCAAAUUUUAGUUCUUUUUACGUAAUUUAUAUGUAGCCAUAAGUUUCAAUCUAACUCAAAUUGACAAGUUGAGAUGUUGAUUUAUGAUGCAAAAUUCUCCUUUUUUUUUUCCCACCCCCUUAAUUAAUUCCUUCCCUUGCCAUCAUAGUGCUUAAUAAUUAGUAGGAUCACAAAAGUUACAUUCACCAAUAAAUAAAUAUUGCACUACAAUUACAUGGAUAUUGCGAAAUGCAACUGUCCCAUUAAGAGAAAAACUUCAAGAAAUAUGUAUCCGAGUCCUCAUUCAAUCAACAUCAAGCCAAAAGCCAGAAAUCUUUCUGUCGCUUAGUAGUAAUCAAAUAUCCACCAAGUUUCUUGCUUUUCUUUCUUACGGCAAGGGCCAUGCAAGUAGCAUUUUGGAUACAAUACUCUACGACUCCACCUGCUGCCACCUUAUUCCCUGCCCACAUCAUUAGAAGCCUCCACGUUGUGGAACGCUUCUUCUGCCCUAGAACAAGAAGUGCCACCCCCUGCUUUUUAGCCUCUUCUACAAUCGCUGGACCUUUCUCUUUUCCUUCUGCCACUGCCACCUCUAUUUGUACCUUUUCAUGCAUGGAUUGUAACAAGAACUUUAAAUAAGGAGCUAAUGUCACCACUGAUUACGUACCCUCUUAAUCUUGACCAGGAAAGUUAAAAGGGUCUCCUUCAGAAUUACUUUUGUAGUCGAUCAAAUUUUGUACUAGAAAAUCUCAACUUUAUCAUGUUCAAGUCUUAUCAGUGUGUAAAUUGUGAUAUGUCUAUAUACAAAUUCGUCCCAAGAAGUGAAAAAAGAAAUUAAAAAUGGGUUCCAAUUAUCAUCAUAAACCAUAUAACAUAUCGAAUUAACCGCUCAGUUUUGUGAUAAGAAAUUGUGAAAAAUAAUACUAAGUUACUAUUUAUGUACCUCAGGUCUCUUCUGUUGGCACAAAAUCUUCAUGCAAGAAAGAAACUGGGAAACUCUUGGAGCCACCUCUUUGAUGGCCUCUUCACCUGCCAAGAAAACGGAAAAAUUCAUUUACGCAAAACUACGCUCGAUAAACAUCAAACUAAAAGCUAAAACUAAUCCUAGAAUUACUCAAAGAUAUGGUGAAUAAGUGCAACCUGGAUUUGAAGGCUUAGUUACAUAGAGAAGAAUCACCAAAUCUUGGCUUUGAACGGUAUGAGUUAACGCCCAUUGUAUGGCAUUCUUUGCUUCAGGACUUGAAUCAACAACAAUCAUUAUUUUCCUUCCAAUAAUCACACUUGCAGGCUUCACAUUUACAACAUCAACACAUGACUUCUCCUUCUCUACAUUCCCAGAAUCAUUCUUUUCUUCUUCUUCUUCUUCACUUUUGGAAAAAUGUGAGUGGUUCUUUGAACGAAUUCGAACAAGAGGCCUGAUCCUGUUUAAGCAAAAACUUGGCACUGUAGCCCCAAUUCGACCCAUAUUUUCUUGAUUGAAAAUGGGACCUUGUAACUUAGUUCCAAACUCCUAUAAGGCCAAGUGCUCAGCUUUAUAGCAGAAGUUAGGAGAAGAAGAAUCAUGUAUUCAUGAGAAGUUGUUAGGCCUUUCGCCUGAGACUUUGCCUAGCCAAGUUCUUGCUCAUGAUGAUCUGGGCCAUUAUUUCCCUUCUCUUUUCCUACUUUUCUUUGCUUCUUUUGCCGUUUCAUCAUUUUUCAUUCCCUUUGCUUCUUUUAAUUAUUUUUUUGGUUCUGUGGGCUAUGCCUGAACGUGCUUGUCAUGAAGAUGUAGGGCCUUGGCAUUCAAGACCAGAUGUUAUUUAAUUCUCGUGCGUAUUUUUGGUGUGUACAUAUACGCGCAUAUAUAUAUAUAUAUAUAUAUAUAUAUAUAUAUAUAUAUAUAUAUAUGUUUUCGUGGGUCAAACUCCUCAGAUCAGACAUUUUUCUUGUAAUUGAUCUGGUGGAAACUUAAUUACCAUGCUUUAAUUUUAUUACAUUUAUUGAUUAUCUUUAAAAAAAAAAGUAGGAUAUCUAAUAUCUUUUACUCUGUUUCUUUAGCAUAGAAUCUUGGUGUUGUAUAGAAUAAUAUUUUUCUCGUUUAGUAUAAACAAGAGUAGGCUAUCUUUUACUCUAUUUCCAUGGGAUAGAGUCUUGUGUGUCGUAUAAAAUACCAUUUUUCUUGUUCAGUAUCUGAUUAGUGAUGCUCUAAACCGUGUUUUACUCUUUAAGCCAUCUUUACCAAUAACAUUCACUUUAGACUUUGAUUGUUUUGAGGGAAUAUGAGUGAAGGGAAAGGAGAGGACUAAAGUGGGGAGGAGAGAAAAGGAGAAUAGAGAAAAGCAAAUUCUAUCAAACAUGUUUAGAUUAAUUAGGAAAGGAAGGGAAACAUUGAAAAUAUUAUUUAGAUUCGGGAAGGAAAGGAAAGAAAACUAUUUGGUGUUACCUACGUUUUUAUUCAUAAUUUUAAAAAGUUUAAUAUGUAAAAAGAUAUGUUUUUUUAGAAAAUUUUAAAAUUUUCACUAAUUUUGAUUUCCUUUCCUUUUGUUUCCACUCACUUUUGGACAAAAAACAAUAUGAUAAAAAAUAACUAAACCUUAUCCCUAUCUUUUCCUCCCUACCCUUUCCAUUCCUUCCUCACAAACCAUUAUAAAUAUGAAAAACCAUAUCCCUUCAUUUCCUUUCCUUCCCUUCUUAUUCUAUCUUUUCCUUUUCCUCCUCAAAGAUCAAUCUAAAUGUAAAAACAUCUAUCCUUUCAUUCCCUUUUCUUUCUCUCUUGUUCCCUCAAAACAAUCAGAACCUUAGGGAAGCGAGAAAUACGAUUGUUGGCACAGUUGUUGUAAAUGCAAGAUCUUAUCCACAAAAAAGAAUUUUAUUGGUGUAGAAAACUACUUAUUCAAGAAUAUUAAUACAGAUAUAUGGAUACUAAAUUUUGUUCAAAAAAAUACACCACUUGAACAUUUCCGCCCUUGUUAAUUUGAUGGGCCGAAUAUCAGCUCGAAAGAGUCUUCGCCAAUUCUCAGCCCAACCCAAGUUCCAAAUUGGAUCCCUCUAAAAAGUUGUUUUUGCCUAAGGGUUGCUAGCCAACUCACAAAAUUUACGAAAAACAUUUCCGUUUCCUCUUAAGGAUACAACUCUUAAUUAUUUACGAGAAUUGGUAUUCGCACUCUUUCUCUCUCGUGUAUUUUAAUCCAUUCACUAAGUAAAUAUACCUUCAACGAGUGCAAGAGACCAAUUUAAGAGUGCAAAUAUCACUUCGCUUAUUUACUACUUAUGCUUGCAUAUUUAUUUGCAUUUUGAAUUGUACUCUAAUUUUUAGUUUUUUUUUUCCCAUUUUGAUACGUUCUUUCUCAUAGUAAAACUAGAGAGAAUUAAAAGGUGAAAAAGAAGAAGAAGAAGAAGAAAAAAAAAAAGGAACCAAUUAUUGAUUAGCGGUGCCUAGUGGCUCGCGGAGGAACCUACAAUUGCAAAUUUGGCUUUUUGUCAAUUCACUUGUCUAGAUCCUUUGUCUUCUUCACAAAUGGCAAAGCUAUUAAAGCCAAAAUUGUUAUUGUUUUCAAUCCCAAAAGGCAAUAAUAAAUAACUAUCCAUCUUCUUGUUGCAUAGAUUGACCAACUCAAAGUCAUUAGCAAAAACCAUCCAAUAGAAAAACACUUUUUAGUGGUUAGCUAUGGUAGGCGGUAACCAUAACAAUACUUACUAAUAUGAAGAAUACAACUCGGUCGUAGAUCAAACCAUAGGCCACACAAUAUUUAAUUAGGAAGGCAAUUUCAUUGAAUUGAUGAUGAAGAAGGGUUUAAUUCAUCUACUAAUCUUCCUUGUAAGAUUCCGUGUUAUAUUUGAAGAUGUAUGUCCAUUGGUCGGUCGGUCAACUAUUAAAAUCAAAGUCCUUAUUUGGUAGAAUAUUACUAGGACGAUAAACUACACAACUCUCAAAUGCGUACGGACACUGCCAUUAAAAAAUAAUAAUAAUAAAGUAUCAUGGAAGAAAUGUAUUCCAUAACUCUACAUCUUAAAGAGGAUAAAAUUUACUCAUUUUACAUAAUUCAUGAAACUCUGUUUCGAUUGUAAUUUAUUUGUCAAUUUUUAUUUGUUUGCAUCAUUAAUAUAAUUUUCAAUCACGUUUUUAUCGCAAAUACAUCAUAUUCAAAAAAAAGUAUUAUAGUUUUGUUAUCAAAAAAAUUUUCAAAUAACCUACUAUCAAAACACACUCAGUUUAAGAGGAACUUAUACAUAAAAUUUACUCGUUUUGUUUUCAUUAUUAUUGAUACUAGUACCAGAAAUUAUAAAUUCAAGAUACUCCACUAUAGCUGAUUUUGCAUAUAUCAACACAACAUCAUUCAUGGCGAUUCCCCCUCUUAAAAUAAUCUAAUGUUAAGAGCACACCCAAUGCACGUGUAAUGUAGAAAUGAUUAAAAUGUGCGUGCAAUGUAGCAAUAAUUUUAAAAAUUAAGUUUAUAUAAAUUUAUUUUCUACAUAAAUAAAAUUUGUAUAAAAAUAACAUUAAAAACUUUGAUUUAUAUGGUUAUAUAAUUUAUUAAUUUAGCUGCUACAAUACUUAAGAUGGUAAGGUUGAGGUCUCAAGAUUUCUAAUUUAGUGAGUUCAUAUCUCCCUUGGCCUCAUCCCACUUCUUAAAUCGCAUCAUUGCUCCACUAGAAAAUGUGAUUAAGAAAUAUUUAAACAAGGGGAUUAUGGGUAAUUAUGUUGGUAAAAUAUGAUUAAAAUACAAAUUAAUAUUUGUGAAGGUAAAAUUAUAAAUUAUUUUUAAAAGACAAAAGGUGUUUACACCAAGUGCAACUACUUUGACUUCAUAUAUUGAAUUAAUAUUGUUUUAAACUGUUAGUGAAUACACUAACAGGUUUAGAUAAUAUGUAUGUCACACAUAUAAGAUUUGAUGUUUAAAUUUGAAAGGAUUUAUCUUCCCCGAAAAAAAAAAUUUAAAAGGUUUUAUCCAUAUACAUUGUAUAGAUAUUUAAGAAAAGCAGGAUUAGCAUUUCCUUGCCGCAUUAGGCUGGUCCUAAACGAUAGACCUUCUUCCUUAAAGAAAAAUAAAAAUAAAAAUAAAAAAAUUUCUUGCCCAAAGCUAAAAAAAGAAGAUAUAUAAUUCUAUUGUCAGCUAAUUCGUGGCCCAAAAAUCCUAAACCCAAACGGCACACAAAAGUAAAUAAUAUAGAAAAUUGCCAAGCUCCGGAGGAGCAGUAGUCUCCUUUACUUCUUCUCAACUCAAGCCCCCACUUUGAUCAUUGUCGAACCGAAAACCCUGCUAUGCACCUGGUACAGUAAUCUCUCUGUCUCUCUCAUUCGACAGUCUCAUGCAUAACUAACGAUAUAUGCAUAUGUUUGCAGAUUUUGAUGGGCUAUUCAGAAGUCUUAUUGCUUUUUGCUGGAACAUAUUAUCAAGAGGGUCAUUGUUUUCUGUUUGGAAUGUUUUCUUUUGGGUUAUGCGUUUUCUUUCUUUUUGCUGAUUGGAUAAGUAAAGAUUGAGUCUUGCAAGUAGCAGCUUUAAAGAAAUAAAAUGAGUGUUGCAAUGUGAUUUUUCACAGAAUUUACUAGUCUUUUUGAUGCUGUAUUACCAUUUUUUUUGGUUUUAAAAACAUAUAGGUUUUAUUAACAAAAAAAAAAAAAGUUCUGUUUUUUGUUGUUCAAUUCGUGCUUUAAUGUCUAUUAUUCUGUUUUAUGAAUGAAAUUUGUCCUCUUCUUUACAGGGUAUUUUUUUAGGACUUUAUUAGUCCUAAGAAAGUUGCAAUUUUGCUAAUUCUUGCUGUUUAGGAGUAGAUUAGACGACUUGGCCCUACCUUGAUGUUUGUAACUAUAUUACCUUCAAUGAAACAGUAGAAUAAAGAGGCUUGAUCGUUUGUACUUUUAGUAGUUUCUCGUUUUUUUUUUCUCAGAAUAUCUAUUUUAAUUCUUUGCAUUGGUUAGCUUCUGACAAUGAGAUUGAAUUGCUCUGCAAAAAUUGGUCUGAUGUAGAAUUGAAGCUGCAUCAUGGGUGCCGUUUGUUGUUGUUUCCCUGUUCCUAACAUUGCUGGCCAUGAAGAUGAGAACGGCUCGAACCAUGGAAACUGCCCUUGCCUCAAUUGCUGUAUACAAAGCAUUAGGGAUAAGGUGCAACAAAAGGCUCCUCUUUCUUUGAUUUGAAAUCAACAGGAUAGUGUCACCUAUUAACGUUUCAGAAAUAUUUGGAAAUAAAUUGUGAUGCCUAUAUUCUUUAUCCCUUUUUUAUUUAGAUUGUUCAUGGUCUCUGGCUUUUACUUCUGUCCUUAUUCCUCCAGCACCUCCUUGUUCUCUGUUUGUUUGUUAAUGUGCUCCAUAUGAAGUUGGGACAUAUACUUCCUUCUCGAUUAUGAUUUCUAUGAUGGUUUUCCACUCAAGGGACAUUUUGUAGGUUUAAUUGUUCUGCAGAGUGUAACUAAAAGCAGGCAUUACCUGCUUAUGCUGCACCAACUAAAAUAUAUUGGAUUUUUGGGAAACAGUUUCGUUAGCUGUAGACAUCUUUUAGCACUCUGUGAUUCUUUAAUUUGGUUGAUUUUAGAUGUCCAACAUUCUUUAGCUCUCAAAUGCUGUUUGAGUUUGAUAAUGUGACUUGGCAAUAAUGCAGUGCUAUGAACACUAUCCACCACUCCUUUGUUAUGUAUAGUAACUGCUAAAGAAAUCUUGCUGCACUUAAAACACCAAAUUUCUUGAUUACCAACUAUUCACAUUAAGCAAUUGAAUAUACAACUCAUGGAGUACUUGACCAUGUUAACUUUUACAUUCACAAAACAAGACAUCUAGUGAGGAUUAUUUUGUCUCUUUAGCUGGCAGGGUAUAACUUUUGAAACAUCUGACAUCAUCGCACUGCUUAGUGCAGGAAUUGGAGAAGAAGAAAAGGGUGGUGGAGACAGAGAGUGGGAAGGGGAGUAAGCGCAGAACAUCUUGUUUAUUGUCUCUUGUUUCAUUGAGAUAGGAUCAUAUAGAGGAAACAUGAAAAAGUCAGUCCUCAUUUCUGUUCCCUUUUUUCUUAUUUAAAUUUGGCAUUACCCUCUAGGUUGAGUGGUUGAGGGGAGACAUAAAAUGACCUCAAAGAAUAAAGACUGUUUUGUUUUACUUCAUCCAAUUAGCCUCAACUACUUCUGACACUCUCCUCUGUGUUUGACUUUUCUUUGCAACCAAAGAUAUCAUAAUAUUGUGUUUUGAUGUAUGCCAUUCUUAUACAAGGUCUACUACUUUAUUUGCUGCUUUUGUGUUUUUUUGGUUAUUUCCAGAUGUGAAAUGAUUCAUUCAAGUUGUUGAAAAGUUGACCCUCAAGUGUAAUGUUGACAGUAUGGAGCUCUAUUUGCAAGAGGGAGUGGGCUUCCAGCCCUGAUAUCUAAUCAAGGUGCAACCUCUCCAGACCCUGUGGUACCAACUCACAGUUCAGCUAUCACCAGAGCAUCUGAUAGAACUUUGCAAAUGAAUCCCAAUUCUGGAUAUUCUCCAGUGCCACAAGAUGUUAUCUGCAGACAUGACAAAGGCUCAAACCAUUCACGUGUAGAGCCAGAACCAGCAGGUGAUCCUGAAGUUCAACAAACGCCAAGACCUUCAAAAGUAGGAGACAGAUUAGUUUACAACCAAAGUGAGUCCUCGGUGAAGGACUUCUCGUCAAGCAUGCAAAAAGGAGUUGGUUAUGAUGUUACAUUCUCAGAAGAUGAAGAUGCAUGUCCUACAUGUCUUGAAGGUAAGCUUCAGCCAUCCCAUCCCCAUCCCCCACUUUUAUUCUCUUUUCCAGUCAAUAAAGUGAAAGAGAUGACAUUCUAUUCAAAGAAGCUGUCUAGAUUCAAUUGCUGGUAAAUUUUGAUGUUUUAGCUUUUAUUGGGUUCUAAUAACCUAGUGCUUAAUGGUUCUUUGAAUAACAUAUUCACAAAAUAUUUUCUGUGCAGAGUAUACACUGGAAAAUCCCAAGAUAAUAACUAAAUGUUUUCACCAUUAUCACCUGAGUUGCAUAUACGAGUGGCUGGAGAGAAGUGAUACUUGUCCAGUUUGUGGAAUGGUAAUUUCUUUCAUAUGAUCUUUUUUCUCUUUGCAUUUUUCUAAGGUCUAUUAUGAAAUCCUUUUUUGCUAUUCAUUUACAUGGGUUAAUCAUCUUGUCAAGUCAUACACUUGUUAUGAAUAGAUAUGUCUAGAAAUUUUCGUGUUAGCUUGUUUAAUGGCUAAUCUUAAGCAUUCAUCCUUCAAGAUUCAUAGGUUAGAUUUUCUUCAUUUUGAUUUUGAUUCUUCUGGAGUUCUUUUUCAAAACCAUUUCUGUUUGACUAAUUGUUGAAUACUUUAGAUGAUUGAAUGUGACAUCAUGUACACCUGAAAAAAUGUUAGAACUCUGGGGGACAUAUAGUAGUGGGUUUGUGAUCUUCUGCAUGAAACUACUGCUAAGUCUUAGCUAACUAACUUUAAGGCAGGUGGCAAAUGCACACAGUUUUGAUGCAGGUUCAGGUAACAUACUCUAUAUACUGACAUAUUAUUUGAAAGUAGAAAAAAGAAAAAGCUUAGGAAAUUAAUCUCCACAGAUGCUCUCUAUGAUGUGGGAUAGUGUGUUGAGGAAUACGAUUGGAUGUGAAGAGCUUGGCCCUUUUUGUUCCAAAGUCAUUUUCUUUGCCUUUUAAUCAACUUUGUCUGUGGGCAAAAGGUCUACUCCAUGGUUGUGGUGCAAGUGGAGUUGGAUCUUGACUUUCCUCCUUUCUUUACUGGAUUUAGGAUGUGCUGAUUGUUUUUGUUGUUAGAAAAUGUGGUUUGCUCCCUGCAAAGAUGUCCUGUUGGCCCAAUCUCUUUUCUGAAGACCUUUUACAGAUGUUAUUCUUGCUUUGGACAUUGCCAGCAUUCAUUCAUUGUGCUAUAGCUUACUCAUCUUAACUGCUUUAGCUAGUAAGCUUUAUGAGAUUGCCAUGCUCAUAAUCAAGCCUGAUUUUCUUUGUUUCUUACCUAGUUGAUGGAAUUCAAUGAGACAUGACUUUGGAGUGCUGAUGCCACGGCAAGGAGGGCUGAAGAAAGACAAGAAUAUAUAUAUAUAUAUAUAUAUAAUCAUGGGAGAAAAACGAAAAUUGAUUGUGUACAUAGCUUAUAGUGAGUAGAUCACUGAAAGUUUUGAUUUUUUUAAAGUUGAUAAGGUUGUACAGGCUGUGCCACUUGUCACAAUAAUUUAUUGGCCUCGUUUUUAGGUUCCUUUUCUAUUUGAUAAACAUAGUAAAGCCAAUAAUAGGAUCAUGAUGCAGCGGUGAGGGGAAUUUUUUUUUUUUUUAGGCCUCAUUAGGAGAUGAGAUUAGUUUUUUUUUUUUUUUUUUUUCCUUUUUUUGGGUUUUUUGUUGUUUUUUUUGGGGGGGGGGGGGAGUGUUUGGGUUUUGAUAUGUUGCUUCAAGGAGUAAAACAAUCUGGUGCGGAAUACUUGCCAAAACUUUUAAACUAAAUAGUACUUGAGUCUCUUUCAGGCUCUGAGAUUUUUGACUUCUAAUGGUAACACCAUCAAGUGAUUAGAAUUCCAGUAUGUUCAUUCUGUCUCCGAUAAUUACAUGGUUUUUGGCAAUUUACCUCGUGUACAAAUAUACCGUACCUAACUGGAUCUUGAAGUAACAUUUCCUUGAUUGUUAUUUUAUGAUUCCAAUACUGAAGCUGCUAGAAUUGAUGUUUUCUUAGUAAACACCUGGGUCAUCCUAUGAAGCGUCUGGACAAGGUAAAUUAUCAUGGCCGAAGCAAUUCCAUGCUUAAAUGCAACCUAGGUGAUGAAUGCCAGGACUUUGGCUCGAUCACAAGAUAGUUUUGGAGUUUGAAAUUCAUCCCUCUCCGGAUUGCAAUUACAAAAAGCAAAAUGUGCAAGUGACAAAGUGAGUUAUAUAUCCCAAUGAAUUUUAGCUAUUACUAGUUUCAAAUAUUAAUGAAUGAACAAGAUAAAUUAGCUCGUUAACUCAAAUUCUUUUCAUCCCCUUCUGUGUAGUUGUUAUUGAUAGUAGACGCUUAAGAUCCUAAAGUGCUCAUAUGUAUGUUACCACAAUAGUAGAUAUAACAUACACCAGCAAGAUUGAGCCCCCUCUACAAAAUAUUCACAAACCUGAUCAUCCAUGGUCAAAUAAUGAGUGAUAUUAAUGCCACAACUUGAAUUUUAUUUCUACAGUUAUUACUGAAUGAAAUGUCAAAAUUGCUCAUCCAAGCCCAAAUGCAAUUUGAUUUUCGAAAGGGGUUGUUUUAACAUUUUCAACAAGAAUUGUUGUGGAAAUAAAAUUCAGCUGUGGCUGUAUCACAUAUCUCCAAAUAAUUGUUGAACUCUAACGAGAUAAUUUUUGAGCGGACGAACUAAACUGGCAGCACGAGCUCACCUGUCAAAACAAACAAGAAUGGUCGGGAUCUUAUUCUCCGGUCUCACUCCGAUGCUAAAGUCAGUUAUGGAAUGAGAGUCGAGAUGCACAUCUAGUAAGUGGUUAAUCCCAUGUACUUGAUUUACAGAUGGCAAGGGAUAUUUAUAAGGAAGGUCCUGACAGAUAGGAUGUAACGCCUACGCUUAACUGGUUGUCAGAUGGCAGUUUAUGAUGGCGGGUUCAGUCGUAACCAUGACCGCUAGGGCGGCGGGUAGUCACAUCAACCUAACGAUAGCUGGCUACCUGCACCGCCAGCAUGCCAGGUGUUGGACCCAUAGCGGGAUCCGAUUUGGAUCACGGAACAGACGAGCUUAGGUAACCAUCCCGGCAACGAGGAGUCGAGAUGGUACCCACAAACUCAAUGUCCAAUAUGAACAUCCAAUUUAAUCUAAUGCUUAGUGGCCCUAAUUAGUUAAGAAUUCUAGCUUGCAACACGAAAGCAUCCCAUAAAAAAGAAGGAAAGAAAGAAAGAAAGAAACAAUUGGAGGCUACAAACUUAUACAGAACAUUAAUAUUUAUUUCCACAGCUCCAAUUGUGUCGUUUUUCCAUCAUUCUAAAAAUGCUCAAGAACUACAGCUUUAGAGAGAGCUGAAUAGAGUUUCCAGAUCGGGUUCACAAAAUACACUUAGCGCAAAUAACACCAACAGAUAGUCAAACAUAUUAGAAAUUUCCAAGUUGGGUGCAAAUUUUGAUUUCUCCGCCUUUAUCGGUAUCAAUGUAUGCAGUUACAAGUACUAGCAAGUAUAGCACCCAAUUUUGCGCUUUGAUCAGGCAGUAAAGCAUCCAAGAUGGCAGGGAAACAGCGAGUCUAGAGUAAGCUCAAGCUCAUUCCUUCUCGCUUCUUGUGUUUCUUCUUCAUAGUUGCCACUGUUUAAAGUAUGACAAAAGCAUUAAUGCAAUUGAAAAUCCGCCAAAAAGCACCAUAUGUGCAAGACUGCAAGUUGCAACAGCAACAAAUAUGCAGAAUGGACAAGUUAAACUUAAGCUAAUUACGAAAGUGGCUUCUAAUUCUAAUGCGUCCAAAACCUCGCAGUUUGAGUUUUGUUGUCGGAUACGAGUGCAAAUCGUCUGGGCACUGAAUUCUGCAUUCAAACUUUAUACUUUGUGGAUACCUAAUAUAGUUAUAAUAACAUAUGUGGUUGAACUUGCCCCUAUAGAUUUCCUUAGUUCUCCUCUCUUAUCCACAAUAUAAGAUCUGAAGGGCUAGGAUCAAAUGAAAUUUGGAUUACCUGACAUUGAUGCAAGGAGGGAGUGGCUCUGGAAUCAGGUACGGAGUUGAACUCGGGCCUUGAUUUUGCUGCUCCCACUGUGCCUGCUGUGCCAUUAACUUCUCUUUCUCCUUUAUCUAUUAGAGAGAGGCCAAAGGAAGUUAAAGAAGCAAAACAACCUUGAUUCGUAAAUAAGCUAGCCAACAUGGUGGACUGUGUGGCAAAUGUAGUUCUGGUAAAUAAUGCAGGUGCAGCAAAUUUACCAAGCAGACAAUGGAACGGCAUGAAAGAAGAGGUUAAAAUAAUCAUUUUGUUCCCAUUCUUGGGGUUAUAAUUUGUUCAAGAACAAGAGCUAUCCUAUUUCAAAGACAGGGUUGCUCUCCCACGAGAAGAAAUUAUUCGAGUUAGGCUGAAUGACUUGAGCACUAAUUAAUGAUGAUAAUGUAUUGACUAACCUUCUUUGCGAGCAUGCUGUUUUGCUGUUGAAUUGCUUUUUCCUGUCAAGGCAAACAAGGGGUAGCUGAAUGAACAUAGACUACAAAAAGAAAAAACUGAUCAAAUUGUUUCUGAAAGGAACAAUUUUCAAGAUCACUUGAAAAAGUUUUAGAGGUUUAGACACCCAUGUUUAUCUAGAAAGUUGCGGGGGUGGUUUACAACUUGAUUAACCUUUGGCUCAGGGUUUAGCUUCUGAUAUAUAUAUGUUCCUGAACAAAUGAUGCUGCAAAGUUUGCAGAUACCGUUGAGCAUUUCCUUUUUUCCAGUCAAAUGUCACACAACAGCUAAAAUUUAAGAAAAAUGAAACCAGAAACCCAGGCAACAGAUGCUACAGUGCUAUAAUAACAACUACCAUAUGAAUAUAGCUUCAGAAAACUCAGUUAUCAGAUGAUGUAGGACUAGUUUUGGACUUUUGGGUACCUAUUGUGCACCCGGAACUGUACUCGAGUAAUGUAAUCCCAAAGUCAUCAAAGAAGAUGGUAGUCCAUUUUUGUUGCUUGGGCGUUUGUGUGAUUAAUAAAUGGUAGUCCACUUUUGUUGUUAAGGUGUUUGUGUGAUUAAUUGCAGGUAUAACUUGGCAAGCUCAAGAGCAAUACAUGAUUAUCACGAUGAACAAUUACACCUAAAGAGGGUUGAAUGCAAGUUUACAUCCUAAAGAAGCUGAUCACCUUUCUCUGCAGCUCAGAGAUUGACUCGUACAUGAGUUGGUUCUGUCAGGAAACGGACAUUUAAGGGUCAGGUAAACGAAGUAAAUUACUCAAAAAAGUUGAGUACUUAGCCCACCAUGGACGGAAAUUUACAAAACACCUAGAACACAAGAGCUUACCUUUCUAGUUCGGAUUUGUUUCAGAGCCGUGUCAAGCUGGUGCUCCAAAUUCUGGAGGUCUUUCGAGCUCAUUGCAUCAAGGUCCUCACCCAUGUAAUGCCUGAUGGAGCAAGAAAGAAAACUUCAAAUACUCAAAAGAAAGAAAGAAGAAUCAACCUUUAUACUUAACCAGUAGCAUAUAUAUAUAUAUGGAAGGCCACGUCCAGGCCAUGUCUUUCACCUAUGAUUUCUUUGCAACAGCUCCAUCUUGGCCUUGAGUUUGGUGUAUUCCAGAGUCCAAUCUCCCUGCACAAUUCAAGCAUGCAACUCACGUAAUUUUUUUUGGGUUUUGGGAAAUUCUCAUGUCAAAUGAUCAAUCAGAGAUGGCUAUAUAUAUACAUAUACAUCUCUGUGACUAGGCAACAUGCAUGAAAUACCACAAAAAGAAAAAGCAUGAUCAUGCAUGCCGUUCUAGGAUAUAUACAUAUAUAUAUAUAUAUAUAUAUGUGUGUGUACCUCGGAUUCUAGAUCAUUUGCAACUAAUCGCCUUUCUGCAUAUGAAUAUCUUUCAUACCUUUCCAGGAUAUUCUCCAUGCUGUUGCAUUAAUUAGCAAACUCAAAAAGUGAAUUUCAACGCAAUACUACUGUAUAAUCUUUCAGAGUAAUUAAUUUACACCGAAAUCGUAGGCAUAAAAUGUCACAAUCUAUAACUUCAUAUUGAGAUGCAAUAGCUUUGUAAUGCUUCAUUGAUCUUCACCACCAGACUUGCUAUAGCUAUUUGAUAAACUAUAUAUUCCUAAGUAUUAUAAUACAUGAAAUUAAUGGCGUUCACCCAAUAACACUUUCGCAUAUUUGUAUCUUCUUGAUCCUCAUCAUAGAGACAAUCAUGAAAGUGCCAAACCAGUUUAGGUCAUUCCUGUGUUUAAUCAAGAUUGCUCUGUCCUUUAUUCAAAAUCAUUGUCUUAACCCUUCUUAGAUUAGAUUUUUUUUUUUUUUUUAAAUUUUGGGUCAAAAGCUGCAGGAUUUCAUUAGAUAUAAACAAUAAUUACGAUUAUCGACUGUGCUAUUAGAGCCCCUACUGUGCCAAGCACAUCGAUAAACUAUCCAUCCACUUUAUACAUCAUGUUUCAGCUUAGCAGCACAGUGGUAACUAAGUAACCUGCUACUGUGCCAGGCACUUCUUAGUACAAUGGUUCAAUUCGUUGUGUGUAUUAUUAUUAUCUUACAUCAUUAUCAUUCGUACUUCUCCCUUCCGCCUCUUCUACUAUUAUUUACCUUUUGAUUAAAAAAAGAUGUUGACAAUUCAUAUUCAAAGUCCUCUAUUACCUGGAAAUAUUUUAUUCUACUUAAUUAGCCAUCAUAUAUAUGCCCUUGCCAAAAAAAUUGAAAGAAAACAUUAUACAUAAGGUCAAAAUUAAACAUGACGUUAUUUUAUUCUAGUGCUUUAUUGCUGAGCUGCUGCAAAGUAAAUUGUAAUGCAAACGACUUAACAAGUAAACAAAUUGAAAUAGGAUAAGCAAUACUCAUCCACGUAGCUAGGCAGCAUUUUUUUAUCCACAUAUUUCAAGUAAAUUUCAGAUUCAUGAUUUGAGCAAAAAUUUACAUGAAGGAAGGAAACGAUUUGAAGUGGCAAGAAAGGAUACAUGAAGUCAAAAUGUACGUUCAUGCAAUUAAUACUUUAGAAUUAGCUAAAAGAUGAGUUUGAAAAUUAGAAAAUCUAGGUCUGGGGUGACCUCAUGCUCGCUAGACUAUGCAGUAAAAGCAUACUUGAUCAGGAUUGGCAUAACGCGAGUCUAUUUCAAAAAAGCAAAUUUGAGGGUGGGAAUUGAAGAGAAGAUGAGAGAAGCAGUAAUAGUUCAACAUAAUCUUACCUGAAAUAACAUAAGCAAAGAUGUUUAGAAUGUGAUAUCUUCUUUCCCUUUUAUAUCAUUGCAGUAACACAAAUAUUUUUACAGGUUAGAUAUGCUAGCUAGGGUAAAAAGCCUAAAAAAUUGAAGAGAUGAUCAUUGUCGAUCUAUAUUAAAUGCCAUAGAUCGCGCGGGUUCCAUCCAAUACAACAAGACGGAAAUAAAUAUUGACAACAAUGAAGAUGUGCAUGGUCUAGCUUAGAACUUAAUUUGGCGAAAAGGGAACUUAGAUAACUGCAAAACACAUAUUGGAUCCUGACCAUAAAUUCUUGAUUUUGUUACCUUUUUCUCAUCUUCUUUCCUGCUGAUACAUAGAUGUCUAACGAUAUAUAAUUUCUUUCUCAAGUUGGGAAGUUGGCGAAUUAAUUUUCUUGUCGAUCUUCUAGUUUUUCUAACUAGUUAAAAGAAUGAAAUACAAAAAAAAAAAAAAGAAUCGGAAUAACAAUAGCAUAGCAUAAAUUGAGAAACCUCGUUUGAUCUUGCAGUGCUAGCUGGUGUAGUUAAUGGAUCUGAUUUUAAUUCGUGACAUCUUGAAUCAAGAAUCUGAAAUCCACUGCUAAUAUUUUUUUUUUUUGCAAGUACAAAUUGAAGCUUUCAACUUGACAUGGAUAGCAUUAAAUCCUCCAAGUAUAUAUAGACCACCAGGCUUUAACAAGAUUAAAUCUAGCUAUCACUUGCAAACAUGAAGUCCAGCUUAGACUUGGAGGUUGUAUUCUGACUGAACUAAUUAUAUCCAACGAAGACCCUGAAGAUAUUUGCAUCAAGAAGGGUGCAUGGUAAAGCCAGAUGCUAUGUAACAUAGAGAAGAUUAUGCUGAAGGAAGACGGGAUGCUACGCAAACGGUUCAAAACUUAGCAACCGUCAUGGUUUUGACCUCAUCAGAAAACAGAAGGAUGCCAACACGAUUUAAGAAGAGGGGGCAAAAGGAACAACAACAAGCCUUAUUUAAUGUUUUCUGAAAGAAGUUUGAAAAAAAAAACCCUUUUGAACCUCUUUCUAAAUGGGGGUGAAAAUGAAGAAUUCAUUAUUGCAACAAAUUUUAGUCCAUGAGAUAACUUAGCAGAUCAAAGGUACGUAGAUACCUAGAAUCAGAAGAGUAUUCAAAGAGCUUCCCUUUGUGAGAGAAGACGAUCAAAGCCACUUCAGCAUCACAAAGUACUGAUAUUUCAUGAGCUUUCUUCAACAAUCCAGCUCUUCUCUUUGAAAAUGUCACUUGCCUGUUAAUCUUGUUCUCUAUUCUCUUCAACUGUACCUUUCCUCUCCCCAUGAUUUCUCCUCUCUCUCUUUUCUUCUCCCCAGAAGAAAACAAACGACCCUCUUCACACAGGAUCUAAAAAAGGAAACCCUCUAACUCCAAUUUAUCAUCCCGUGCCCCUAGAUUCUAAAAUCACGACACAACAAAAAAGGGGAAUAUAAAUAUAUAUAUAUAUAUAUAUAUAUCCUUGUAUUGCUUCUUUAUAAUCUGCAGGUGUAAAGAGGGGGAUAUUUUAGGAAAUCACUGGUGGGUUCUGUGGUGCUCCAACUUUCUUGUUGUCUCUAUUUGGUGAAAUAUAUUUUAUGAUAACAUCUUGUCUGAAAAAGCAUGUACAGAUUUGUGAUGAGAUGUGAAACCAUUACAGCUAAAGGGAUCCUGGGGAAGUUAAAACCAGGUGGUUUUUAAGAAUGUGCUGUCGAGCUAGGAUUUGUUUAAGCUACUGUAUAUUCGUUGGAGUCUGGUGGAUAUGAAGUUCACAGGUUUUUAACCAAAAUUUGGUACAAUUAGAAGUGUACGGAUCCGGAAUAUGGGUAGAUCAGUGUCAUUUCUUUGAAACUGUUGACGGCGGCCACGGCCAUGUGAUGAAGGGACUGUUCUGAAUUUGGCCCAGCAGAUUUUUAGUAUAGUUGGAUUUAUCCAUCCUAUAUUAAUAGUGUAUAUAUUAGCGGGUUGUACAUAUUAUAUGUGCAAAAUUGAAGUUCAAAUUCAAAUUAUAAUGUGACAUACAUCCUGACUCGCUAGUAAAUACUAUAAAGAAAGAAAUUCAAAUUCCGUUCAAGUGAUUGUGCUCAUAGCUGAAAUCAUUAAAAAAUAAUAAAGGAAAGACAAAAGUAAAAACAUGUUAUAAGCUAGGUUUUUAUUUUUUACCAAAAUAUUUAAUCUAAAAAACUUUUUGUCUAUCUUAAAACACUCUCUAAUUUUUUUGAUUUUUUUUAUAUGCCCAUUUUGUGGAAUUCACCUCGAAGAAUAUACGUAGAAUCAUCGUCUCAUCACUUUCUCUACCUCAGCUGAGUGAUGCUUCGCUCAAGAUAACGUAUUCUCCACAUUAAUUUAGUCAUGACUUUGGGAAAAGCACUUCCAAAUAUUCUCCAACGGGACAAGCAAACAUUUUCUACCACAGCGGUAAACUUAUUGGGUAUUAUUCCUUUCCAACGGCCUCGAAAGUUGGCAAUCUAAUUCUAUCCCAUCUCAUUCAUCCUGCCCGCCUCUCUACUCGGUCUACCCUGAAAAGGUCGGACAGAACAUUGAGCGCCCGCGCAAUUGGAGCCAUUGGACCAAUAUGCAAUAGGGAUAAUUAAUUACUGAAAUCUUCCUUGAGAUUUUUUAUGGCAUCUUUGUUUGGAUUUUAGUUUUUCAAGAAAAAAGUUUUAUAUUUUUUAAAUAUAUUUCUCAAUUACUUUUUUACUUUAUAUACACAGGCACAUAAAUACAUAUAUAUUUAUAUAUAUAUAUCAAAUUGUUACGAUAAAUUUUUCUAUAAAAACUCUAAAAAAAUAGCAAUCCAAAUGAAUAUUUUCAAAACUUAAAAAAAAAUCACUGAUUUUUUUCUACUUAUAACCUUUUGUAAUAUAUUGUUAACCAUUUCCAGUGUAUAAAAUUGAAAAAAUCAUUUUUGGAAAAGGAGACAAUUAUUCCAAAGUAGCUCUUCAAAUUAUUUAUACUAGUUUUAUGUAUCCUAUAUAAUCUUAAAUAUUUCUUCUUAUCUAGACCAAUAACACGAAAAUUGUAGAGGGUCUCCCAACCCCGUUAACAAUUUGUAAAUUUUUAUUGAAGAACCCACUUCAACACGUUUUCAAAUUAAGUGUCUGUUAUUUCAAUUAAGAGAUUAUAAGAAAUGGCAAAGUGGUUUAAUUUGUUACAAUCCACCCACAGAAUCUCUAUGUUUUGAAACCUCAAUCUUAGUCACUAAAACACUAAAAAACGCGAAAUAAUGAUAUGUCCAAUAUACUGGAAAAGAUCAUUCAAACACCUAUUCGUCCCAACUGACCGAAUUGGUAAAACUAUUUAAGACGAAAGAUGAAAUUUACUGAAUCGAGGAUAGAGUAUUAUUUGAAAUAAUUACUGUAGUAUUUUUUGUGAUGUGAUGUAUGCGAGAUAAAAAGGUGAUUGAAAAUAUAAAAAUGUGAGUUAAAAAAUGUGUUUAUAAUGCAAGCGAAAUAUUAUCUGGAAUAAUUUUACUAUCCAAACAAUAUAAUAUCAGUUCUCUUCUUUUUCUUUUGUUUCCUCAUUUUAAUUUUGCCUCUUCAAUUAUUCGCCUUCUGUACCAUUUUGUGCAGUGCAGUGCAGUACUAUAUCUUGUCGUUAUAGUUGACAUUCACUGUUUAUGAACAGUGAAAAUUUGGUCCUUUGAUGUUAACACCUUAAUCAGUAAAUUUUGUGCUGCUUCGCUUUGAGAACCUUUGACGUUAUUUACUUCGUCAUGUUUUACCUUAUCGUGCUUGAAGUUUAGAAUUGGUCAUGUCGAACCUCGAGUGAAUUGCAAAUUUGCAAUUGAUGACUUCGGAUGAAAUAGUUUUGGAUAAAAUAUUGGAGAAAAUUGGAUUCUAUUCUAUUAUAAAUACUACUUGUUAAAUAAGAACUUGAUAUGAAUAAGGCAGGCAUAGAACAAAUUAUCUCUUUUAUUUUUUUGCUGCAGAAAAUUUAUUCUGAAGCCCUCCUCUCACUGCAUUUCACCACAAAAGAUUAAUUUGGAAAACCCCUCAAAAAAAAAAAAAAGAAAAGAAAAAGAGUGAGUGAGAGAGAGAGAAGCAAGUUCCACAGCUCUGCAAAGCUGGGCCUCUCUUUCUGCUAAAUGUUUGCCGGAUCUAAAAUUGGAAAGAUUCGAACCAAGAUGGUACCAGAUGCCUGUUUGCUUUUCUUUCUUCCUCUUUUUUUUUUUUUUUUUUUGGGUUUAAUUAUUAGAGAGCAAGUACCAGAUGCCUAUUUGCUUUUCUUUCUUCCUCCCCUUUUUUUUUUUGUUUAAUUAUUAGAGAGCAAUGUAAUUUUUGUCCUCUCAUCUUUUCUUUUCUUUUCUUUUUCUUUUUCUUUUUUUACGUGUAAGUGGAAUGGCUCGAAUCCAAGACCUCUGCUGGUUUGACGUAAGUUUUGUUUUCAUAUUUUAGUCUUUCUUUUGUCCCAAAUAUCUUACUUUAGUUCUAACUGCAUCCUCUGUUUAUGGCAUGUUUCCUAUUAACAAAAGCAUCAACUUACUCCUUUUUAUUACUUUAAAAAGGUAAUGACAACCACUAUUUUGUACCUAUUUUAUAGUAUGUGUUCUAUGCAAUUUCAUCCCACAAUAAUUGUCUUACAAAAAGUAGAAAAGUCUAUUUCGGAUUGCAGUGAUUUUGCUAAAAAAAUAAAUAAAUUUAAAAAGAGUACUUCCAUCAGACGAACACUUUCUUUUUCCAUUUUUUUUUAUUACCAAAAGAAAGAGAGAGAGAUAGAUAAAACAUUUGAAAAAAAAAAAAAAGGAAUUAUAGCUACUAUAUGUUCCCCUAGUCCCUACAAAAGGGCUGGCCUGAUUGCACAUUUUGUUUUGCGUCAUACAAUCUUUGUCCAAGCAAAUUUCAGUUCAAUAAAGAUAGCCAUUCCCCACAAGAUUAUAGAUCCCAUCUUAUUACAUUCCAAGUCUUCGGAAAAAAAAAAAAGAAAAAGAAAAAGAAAAAGAAAGAAAGACAUUCCAUGUCUUUAUCUAUCCUUGAAAACUGUAGAGUUGGCAAUAUGUUAAUGCUGCUAUGGUACGUACAUUACUCCAACAGGAUCCACUUAUGCCUCCUGUUGGCCCAAGAACAUAAUUUAUUUUUAUCUUCCCAUUUCAAUGGAAAAUACAGCAAAAUUAGGAACCUGUGUACCACACGUAUUAAUUUGUUGGCCUUCCAAUUCAAAUUGUGUUUAAUUGCUACAUAUAUAUAUAUAUAUAUAUUCUCAAAGCAUCCAUCCUGGUAGGAUUCCACUGGGAUUUUGUGUUGGCUCUGCCUCAGCAUCGGCUACCACCAUGUUGUAGCUGCAAUGGAGAAGUACAUGAAUAUAUGCAAAAGCUAUAAUCUACUGAUCAACUUUCCCCUUCGCAGACCAAAAAUUAUCCUAACAAAAGUAGAAUUUUUUUUCCCCCCACAUAACAAGUUACAUGCAUGCAAAGCAAGGAUAAAUCUCCAAAGUUUUUUUUAUGGAACAACAUAUAGCAACAUACUUCAUGAUGGAGCUGUUGCAUUCAAGGGGCUGGAAGAAUCCCUCAGGAUGAAUUGUCUGAGAUCUAUGUCGUAAAUUAUGCUCCUCUGAGACGUCCCAUGAUAACUGAAAUGCUGCAGUGGUUUCUUCUAACUGCUAUGAUGAUUUUCAUGCACAUUCUUAGAUGAUUGUAUCAGCAACAACUAAUGCGAAAUAUCAUGAGCAUCAAAACUUUAAAAAUAUAGCCCAAAUUUAAUAGAAACUUUAGGCUACCUUGUUCCUCAAGGCCUUGUUUACUUCCAUCAGUGAUUUUUCCUGGGCAAUCAAAUAGUUGGCUUGGUCAGUCAAACGUUAAACAGCUGGUUGGCAAGGUUAAUAAUACGUUACCUUUUGCUGCAGAUCUGAGAGUUGAUCCAGCAUAUGCUGAGUCUGCAACAUUUUAGAGCCACUAAUUAGACAUGAUAUCUUUUUCUUUUCUUUUUUUUUUGUGGAAAGCAAUACUCACUGAAAGUGACAAUUAAUAUAUAAGCUUGAGCAGCAAAAUAGAUCGAUGGCUUUACACUUGGACAUGAAGAUAGAAAGAUGAUCCAAUCUUACAAGUGACCUUAUCUAUUAAUCUCCCAAAGAAUAAUGCUUCACUUAAAUGGGAAAAGAAUAGUUUAGCAAGAAACUCUACGUAGCUGUCAAAUUCUAUAAGCAUCUUAAUUAACUUCUUAUAAAGUACAUCAUGAAAGAAAACUACAAGCUCCCUGGCUGCAACUUUGACCUUAUAAUAUGAAAAUGUAAUAACUAAUUAGCACAUUUUUGUCGUGUCAUGUAGAACUAUCUUUCACUAGUUUUAAGUCUUCAUUCAGCGAAUUGGAGGAGGGCGCGUUUUCAUCAAAUUAAAGAGUUGCAUACCUUUGUGGACCUAAUUUGCCGCAAAGAUGCAUCAAGCUGACGCUCGAGCUGAUCGAGCUGCUUUGCACCCAGCUGAGCCAAGUCUUCCCCCAGAAGAUGCCUAAAUGAAUACGAAUAGCAGCAGCAUCAGCGAAAAAUUACCAUAGGAAUUGUCCAAAGAGCUAAAGCAGUACAAGUUAAAGCUUAGAAGUUAGAACACCAAAAUUCUCGGUGACAUCCAGGUACAAUCAGGCGAUGAGGACGCAGAGAUGGAUGUGCUAGCUGCACUAAUCGUACGGCAGGGCUGCUUCAACAACCCUUGUUGUUAGGGAAAAAAACAAAUGACUCUAGUCCCUCUACUAAAAGGCCUAAAAGAGAAAAGAAAAGUUGAAGGCAUUAGUGCUUUGAUUGAUCGAUCCAGGCCUCACAAGUUGAGUCGUAUCCAGAUCAAAUAGCUCCGUACGUAUAAUUCUUCCAGCAUUUGGUGUGAGGUCCCAUCUCUGGGCUCGGCGUGCGUGAUGGAUCCAUGAAACAGUACACUAGAUAGUAAUUAAUCUCAGGCUACAAGUCAAGCUACUCAAGAUUCUAAUGGCUUGCUCUCAUUGCUCUAUGCCCACAGACAACUUAAUUAAUCAUUUUAAGUGCAUUAGUCGUCAGAAAAUCAUUGCAAGCCUGUUGUUGAAGUUCUUGUUACCUCUGAGAUUGUUGUAAUACCUCCACUUUUGCUUUAAGCUUCAGAUACUCCUGGUAGUCACCCUGUUUCAGGAAAACCAUAGUCAAUUUAAGGGAUCAAGAAAACAGUCGCUCAGGUGCAAACUAAUUAUGCUGUAGCGAUGGAUUUAUUAAUACGCACACAUAGACUUGUUUAGGACUUUGGAGAAAAAGGGAUCUUUUUGACCCUCUAGGGAGGGUUAAUUAGCCACUAGGUCAUAAAAAAAAUCGCAACGGAUCUUCUGUCCCACAUUCUGUGCCACUUUUUAUUCUGUUGCUAUUUUUCCUGUAUAAACAUCAUGUUUUAGUUCGUUUUUGUUUUUUUUAAGAUCCACGUGAUAUCUUUCCAACUUGUGUGUGCGUGCGCGUGCGUGCAUAUCUGCCCGUUGUUGGAGGGGCUGAUAUAUAUAUAUAUGUCCCUGGUUAAGGAAGGAGUCCUAUAGUGCAUUAACAACAAAGUUACCUGUGGAUCCUUGGAGGAUUGGUUCAUUCCAGCAUCAGCAUAGCUGCAUCUGUGAUACCUCUCCAGCGUUUUGGACAUACUACAGGAGAAUUAGGAAAGGUGAAGUUAACACCAGGAGUACUAAAAGUUUCAAUUUGUCCUCAUCUUACGGUAGGACCAAGAUGAGGAAAUGGCUGCACUUAAAUGAAAUUCAUGAGGUUUUGAUUUGGUGCAAGUGUGUCGGGUUAAAUAUACUUGUUUGUUAAUUAUAAUGUUUGAUAUAUAUACACUUAUAUAACUUAUUAUACUUUUCGACAACAUUUUAUAUAUAUAUAUAUAUAUAUAUAUAUAUAUAUAUAUAUAUAUGAACAAAAUUCGAACUUUUAUACACGAAAAGGAUGAAAUCCGUACGUGUAACAAAUAGUAAUAUAAGCAUCACCAAACCAAAACAUGUACCCUAUGCAAUAACUGUACGCUAAGGAAGGACACAUUACGCAACCGUAACUACAGCCCAUAUUCGUACAUAAAAAUAAUCAGAAGCACAGAACUUUUCAGCUUCUUUUUUGAAGGUAAUCAAACAACAUUUGCUAACAUGUCCGUUUGCGUAUAAGGGUUCAAAAGUAGUCAUUUAUUUAGUACAAUCCAUGGACAGAAAAUAUCUUCUAAAAGAAUAUUAAAAUAGUUAAAAAAAAAAAGAAGAAAAUAUUAGAAGGAAGAAGGAAAAUAAAAUAUAGUCGAAGUGAUCUCCGGGGAAACAUGAUUGAGGGUUAAAUUGUGAUGAUCGAUCGAUCACCCUUGAGGAAAUUGGAAUUAUUGCAUUAAUUUGGUGGUUGAACUUCACUUCACUUCAUAUAUAUACAAAGCUAAUUAAUUUAGUGGGAAUCAGAUUUUAUCCAAAGAGUCUCUAGGGUUAACAUGUAUUGCUAUGUCCAAUUGUCCGUCCACCACAAUUAACCCUAUUCUACCGCCACAAACAAUGGCUAAAGUAACUUCUCUCAAUAAUAUCAUGGGGCUUUAAUUCGCAUCAAAAGUCUGUUUCAAAAUUUUAACUCAUCUUUUACUUUGCAAAAGGGAUUGAUCGAUCACCAAAAACUAUAAAAGAUAUGACUUGAUCACAGAAUGCAGAAGACUCUACUUUACUGUCCAGCACAUUCAAGUAAAACCAUCACAUCAAAAGUGUGUUUCAAAUUUUUAACUUGUCUUCUUUACUCUUUUUUUUUUUUUUUUCCCCUUUCCUUUUUUGGUGCUAACUUCUUAUCUUUACUUUGCAUAAAGUAAGUAUUCACCAAACUUGGGAUAUCAAAUUGCCAAACCACCUAUAUAAGAUAUCAUUUGAUCACAGAAUGUACAAUCCUGGAUUUUCAAAUAGACUAACUCCAGAUCAAGUAUAUAUAUAAGAAGCUUUAAGAUUUUUUUGCCUACACAGGAACGAUUUGAACAUGGAAAUGGGAGAAUAUAAGAGGCAGGUGUGAUUAGUAUCUAGUGUCACAAUAAGAGGGGAAAAGUACAUCCUUAAAAUAUGGAUAAUCUUGCUAAAGCACAUUAUUGUUGUUGUUUCUUCAAGAGAGAGUAACUAUUAACCGACACAUUCGACUUUCAGUUGUCAAAGAAAAUAGAUCUUGAUUUUCACAAGUUCUUUCUCAAGCUAUUUUUCACUACUCAUAAAUUAAAGAACCAAGUAUAUAUCGAAAGCCUAAAUAAUAGGAACACACAGUAUCAAUCGUUACAUUUCUAAGUCUAUGAAUGACAAACGUAAUUGCAUGCGCUAAGACUAAGUUGAAUUUACCAUAUAGUGCAUGGAGAUGUGAAACGAUUCAUGAAUGAUUUAUAUAUUUGGGAUGCAACAAUAAGUAUUCAAGAAUUUAGACCCUUGCCUUGAAUGUGCUCAAAGAAAGCACCUAUAUUCUGAAUCAGGAUCAAGGUACCAAUGUUAGCUAGGAUUAAAGGGUAAAGGGACUAAGUAAAAAAUGAAAGCAAACAGUAUAAAGUUCAUAGUUGAACAACACAUGCAUAAUAUGAAAAUACCAUAUAAAGUGAUUGCAACUCAAGCAGAUUACUAGACGAAGGAAAUUAUAAUGAACAACUUUACGUUCGACUGUGUGGAUUAACUAAAAACAUGAUACUACACAUUUGAAUGAAAACGCUUUAUGUUGAUCAUAUGCAAGGAGUAAAAGGCACCUCUAGCAGAACGACACGUUUGAUUGAUGUGAAUUAAAUGCAGACAACCAAGGAAUUGCAGCUUUGGAAAAAGCAACUCGAUUCAUGGCCAACAAAAACAACAUUUCUUCCUGAAAAGUUUUUAUUUUUAUUGUUUUGGGGUUUGAAGAGCUGCAUGAUCAGAACAUAAUAUCGAUGAUUGAGUAUUCCGAUGAAAGGAACAAACCACAAGACCACAUAUGCAUAAAACUAAGUGUGAAUCUUAUGAUGGUGACACGAGACAUUUAUCAAAUAUGAAGGUAGUCGUAGCAAGAGAAAGCAAUAAUUUCAACAUGGUUGUUCUCAGUGGUCAAGCGACACAUGUUAUAACUCCAUUCGAACUCAUGAACAUGAUACCUAAAUCUAUGCACAAAGCACCACAAACUUGCAGCCUUGCAGCCAAAAAGCAAGCCUGAGUAUUGUCUGGAUGCAUCCCAAUGCAAUGAAGAAAAUGAUAUGCACAUCAAUUCUUGAGUUGGUAAAGUUCAACCAGAAGUAGGUUCAUCAUGCAGUGAUUUAUUUUCCUAAUCAGAUGAUCCGCGCUACUAAUAUUAUGACAACGAUCUAUGCUUUUCUAUAUCAUAUUUGGGCAAAUUCUCGAUUGAUCUUGUCAUCGGCCUGUUGGUGGGGCGACUUUAUCAACAAUUUGAGUUAAAAAUCAAGAUUUUAACUUGCAUCAGCUGGCACCUGGAUUUCUUAAGAGUACCCCUUUAAGUACACUGACAAAAUACUUCAUAAACUCCCAGUUCCAGACUAGAUCUCAAACCUGAUUAUGGGAGGUCAAAAUUCAGAUCCAGAAAUCACGAUAACUAUAAAGCAACAAACUGCACUCUAGCGGCAUAUCAAAUUCUGAUAACUUGUCCGCACAAAUCUAGUACUAAAAAAUGCACUCAAACUACUCUCUCCACCGUCACCACCACCACCACCAACAAACCCAACCCCCCCCCCCCCCCAAACACAAAAGAAAAAAUUAAUAAAGGCAAUUCCCUUGCUUGAUUUCCCACAAGUUCAAGCCAAAUAAUCACACAACAUAGUACAAAAAACACACACAUACAUGGUGUGAGUGUAUGUGGAAAUUACAAGUUACCUAGAGCUGCUGCAGAACUCAUAGAGUUUGCCACGAUUGGAGAAUACGAUGAGAGCAACCUCAGCAUCACAUAGGAUGGAGAGUUCAUAGGCCUUCUUCAGCAGACCAUUCCUUCUUUUUGCAAAGGUUACCUGUCUAUUUAUCUUGUUCUCUAUUCUCUUCAGCUCCACUUUACCCCUUCCCAUUAUCCUGUUUUGUGUUAAUUUAUGUAACGUAUCUGCAACACCGUAUCAAAAACCAACAGAUAAUACUCAGAAAAGAAUUACAAUCAUUUUUUCUUCACAAAAAAAAGUGUUAUGGUUCUAUAAAAAUCUUAACAAAAACAAGCAAACAUGUAACAAAAUGCCACCAAGAUUGGAUUUUUAUGGGGAAAUAAGGAAAACCACAUAUAUAUGGACAAGUACACUGCCAAACCGGUUGUCUCUUUUUCUCUUUUAGGGCAGGAAGAGUUACUCUUUUCUGGGAUAGGUCUUAUGUUUCUUGCUGCUAGUAAGAGGGGAAAAGAAAAGUAUUUUUCUAUAUGUGCAUUCCAUACAUCUAUGAGUCUAUAGACUGUAUAAUUCAUACGUAGAUAGACAUAGAUGGUAAAAGAGAGUUAGGUACUUUUGUUAUCGCAGUUGGCUUUAGAAGCUUGCUUAUGGAAUGUGGAAGUUGGAACUGAUGCUUUCCUGGCAAUGAAGAUAAGAGUCCCAGAGAGGAACCACACGAAAACAAAAGAAAAAAAUCUGCCCUAUAAGAGAAACACAGUACUUGUACUGUUAUGUCAUUCUUAUAGAUUUCUUGAUUUGUUUUCCUUGUGUAUCAUGCUUCACCUUGAAUGUUACCUCUCGACUCUUGUAGUCAAAUUGAAAAUCAUGGUCCUGUAAGAAGAAAGUUAUGGACUCCUGAUAAAUGUUUGGAAGAUAUUUCUAGAUAUGCGGUACUUCAAGGUAUAAAAAUUUUCGAUAUCUGUUUUUCUCAAUUUUAUGAUAGAUUCUUCGCACUCAUGUUUUCAGACACUGAACUUUUUCCGGAACAAUAUCUCCACCUAAACUAAAAAGGAUCCAUGUUGAGUUUUAGACCACAAUUUUUUUUUUAUUUUGGAGAGAUGGAAAUGGAAAUUGUAAUAAAAGAGGCAAUUAGAAAAAAAUAUUAAAUUACAUCUUCAAUACUAACUUGAACCCUGAUCAGUGGAAAAUGAGUACUUCAAUAUCUUGAUUAACAUAUUUUGGUAUUACACAUCCUUUAAUAUCUUUUGUUGGGCAACCAACAAGAAAAAUGCCGAAGAUUUACAUACAUUAUGGUUCUACUAGCAUCGUUACAGAUAAUCUUUUUCAACUUCGAUUACGUCUAUGAAUAGUUUUUUUCCCCAUUUCUGUGUCUCUCUAUUGGAUAUGGAUUACUUAUAAUAUGUAUAUAUGUAUAUGUAUAUGUAUAUGUAUAUAUUUUUUUGUGCAUGUUUUUCAAUUAUUUUAUCUCACAUAUAUGACAUUAUUAGAAAAUGUUACUGUCAAUAACACAAAUAAAUAAAAUUUUGAAUCCAAAAUCGGAGCAUUUUUUUCUUUUCAAUAUUGUACUAUUGGACCUUCCCUCAUUCCUUUUAUUGGAUAUAAUGACGAGAAUCGGGGUUUAACAAGUUUAAACACAAAACGUGAAGUCAUUGCCCUUUUUCAGUAGCUCGACAAAUACAAUGAAAGUGUUUGGAUUAUAUAUUAUAUUCACCUUAUUUACAUGUACUGACUUUCUUAUAUUAUCAAUACAUUUUUCAAUCAUAUUUUUAUCUCACAUACAUCAUAUCAAAAGAGUAUUACAGUAUUUUUUCACAAAAUUAUCUCAAACAAUUUACGAUCCAAACUUACAACUCUAUUGGAACAAUAAGCAGCUCUACUAGAUUCAGGGUUCUUCCGAACGCAAAUACAAGAAAAGGUCGGUCUUUAUACCGAUGUGGAUAAGAUCCUUUUUAUCAUUAUUUCCUAUCCAACAAAUACACAAAGUAAGUAUUUUUAGUUUUUACCAAAAUUAAAUGUCUUUUUCCUUUUUUUUUGUUCGGAUGAAAUUUUGUUCCGUGGUUUAUGCCUUGCGUGUAGAGGACAAGGGCAGGGACGAUCAUCCUGAAUAGUUAAUGGUCAUGAUUUGAUCAAAAAAUUUUAUGCGAUCUAAAUCACAAGUUAUGCAUUAAUUUUAACACCGUAUGUGUGAUCGACAAAAUUUUAUACUAAACUUAUAUGUUAUGCAAAUAAAAUUACUCUAUGUGUAACUAAAAUUACGCAUUAUUAAAAAUGAUCAAAAUGGCGGGGGACGGUUGCAGCCUCUUGUCCGCGUGUGGACGAUAUUGCAGCGUGCUUACUACAAAAAAAUUGACGGGUGGACGUCAAGUUCCAACCUUAAAAGUUUAAAACUGUCAAUCAUUUUUCGCAGGAAACGUGUCGAACAUUGAAUGGGGCAUCCCCGAGUUCCAACCACAGUCAGAGUACUUUUGUUCUCUUGGACGGUUAUGCCCCUGGAUGAUCCACUUAUUGCUGAAUCAGGAUUCCAACAUCUUUUUAUUUAUUUAGUAGUACAACAACAGCAAACUUUUUUCAAUGAAUGGGUUUCCGCGGAGAGAUGAAUAAAAGGAUGGAGUAAUAAUAAUGGAGUACUUUUGUUCUCAUUCAACCGAUUAAAUACAUGCACAUAGGAAACUUUGUCUGACAAGGUUUGGUUAAGGGUAAAAAAUACCUAUAAGUUCAAAUUUGAAAAAUUUGUGGUUGGAAAAAAUGGAAAAUCAUUUGAAACACCCCUCACAUUUCGUCAAAUAAAUUUUUUAUUCCUUCACUUUUAAAAUAAUAACUUUAUGUUCUUUACAAAAUCAAGUCAAUAAAAUUUAGUUCCAAUCUAGAUUUUUGGCUGCUUUUUACUCUGAAUUUGUCAAGUCCAUUGCUUUUUACACCCAAUACAAAAUCAAAUCGAUAUAAUUUAGUCCCAAUCUAGGUUUUCAACUGCUUUUUACACUGAAUUCAUUAUGUGACAUAAGUAACAAAGGUUAGUUUCCAUUUGUAGUUAAACAAAUGACACAAUUUAUUUUUACCUCUAAAAAAUGAGGAUCUGACCUGAACUGUAUUCAUCUGAUCCUCUAAAAAAAUGGGAUCUAAUCCAAUUCACAUUCAUUUUUUGCCACUAAAUAAGUGAAAUCUUACCUUUUUAUACUUAAAAAAAUGCAAGCCACAUAGUGAUUUCAGGAUAAAAAGUGAUAUAAAACUUGGACUAGGACUAAAUUUUGCUAAUUUGAAUUUGUAAGGGACACAAAAUUAACAUUUUAAAAAUGAAGGAUAAAAAAAUUUAUUUAUCGAAUUGUGAAGGAUAUUUCGAACGAUUUUCUUUGGAAAAACUAAUGAAGCAAAAGAUCAAAUAAUGAAAGGUCUUCCAAUAAACUUCAAGACAAAAACAACAAAACAUGGUACAUCAAUGCCUGGGUCAUUUGUGUUCUGUGGGCACCUUUUAAGUUUUCAUGCUGAUAACGGCAGUAAACUACUUGCUAUAAAAGGAAAAAUAAUAAACAAAGGUGUAUACGACUCUAAAAUUACAAAAUAAGAAGUGGGUCUGACGUUAUAUUUUGCAAAAAAUUUAGAUUUAUGGGUCGAGUGAUUACGUACGUUAAAAUUUUUUUUUUCUCUUUUUUAAGUAUGCUAAUAUGAGGGGUGAUCGAGUGAUGAUAUAUAUAUAUUUUUUACUGUACCUUUAGGGCACAAAAUAGGAAAGAAACCGCUGUUGAUGGAUUAUCAUCUGGUUACAGAUACAGAUUUUAGAUACGACUGUAAACUUGCCCUACCUUUUCAUCUUUUUGCAAUGUUUAUUUGCUAAUUAAAACUUGUCUUGUAAAUACUAGCUACUUGUCAAACGUACGUAAAUGCUAUUAAAAUGAUGUCAAACCUAAUUAAGCACUUGUCCAAUCCAACCUUUCCCUAAGUACUUGUGAAACCCAUAUUUGCUUUUGUAACCCUGUUACACUCCCACAACCUACAUGUGAAAGGGCCCUUCAGAUAUUCCUUCUUAACAUGAUCAUCACUUAAUGGUUAAUAGAGUACCAGGCAUAUAUUUAGAUUUUAGGCUGAGUUAGGCUUUCUGAUAAUAUACUCUUGUUCGUUGAGCAAUUCCACAGAUUAGCACGGCUCCUUUCUCACUAAAUGCCAGAUUUGAUAGUUGAAUAGGACAAGGCUGUUAAUAAUAACAUUAAUGCAUGUAAUAGAAUUGGUCCGACAUCCUUAGAGUUAGGUAAUGGUAUGCCAUUAUCUUCUUCUUUUUUUUUUUUUCUCUAUGAAUAAUUGUGAAUAUGACAGCAUGUAUGUAGCUAGCUAGGCAAUCAAAUACGUUUUUGACUCUCAAGUUUAUGCUGUAUUGCUGGCAGAAUGACAGGAUGGUGAGAAUGGAAAUGACGGGACGCAGUGAGAAUGAUGUAGGAAGGAGGGUUCCUCUUUGAAUUACAAUCUUGUGAAAGAAGGCUACAUACAUCAAUUCUGUCAAUUUGGUAUGACAAAUGAAAAUGAAAUAACUAUGCUAGCUAGGGAGAUUAGUCAUGUAGGUGCAAGUUAUUUGGCUCGAUUCUGUCACUUUCAGUUGCUAUUCUUUUUCGUUUUCUUUUUCUUGUAAGGUUUGAAUCUCCUUUUGAAUAAUUCCAAAAAAAAAAAAAAAAAAAGUUAAAAGAGCUAAAUGGUUUUAAUGGCAUUUCUCGAAAAAAAUCUUCGAUAUACUGAAAGAGGAUUUUUACUCCUAGUUAAAUCAAAUAAAUGGUAAUCGAAAUAUCUUAUGAGAUUUAAGAAAAUGGAUGGUAUCAUUAGUGAAGACCAUGCUAAAUUGUCCUUCGCAAACAUCCAUGAUGCUGGCGUGCUAACAGAACAAGCAAAUGAAGGUGGUAAAAAAAUUUGGGGCAGGCAAAUAGUUGAGUGAUAAGUACUGCAGUAACUUUGUUCCUUGAGCGGGAAAAAAAAAAAGGUUAUACCUUUAGUGUGGUGUGGGAAAUAUAAAAGAAUAUUGACUUUGGAACAUAUUAAUUAGAGCUAGAUAGGGAUUCAAUUCCUAUUUGUCAAAAAAUUCAGCGACUUGUGUGGUCGGAUGAAAGACUCACUUUCAAUCUCAUAUAAGUCGUCCUCCUAUAACAUAAUAUGAGUAGGGUAAAUUGAUGAUGUCAGAUUAAAAAAAAUUAAUAUUUUUUUCUGACAAUUUACAAGCGUGUAAACGUGUGUAAGGAUGGCAAUGGAGGUGGGUGCUCACGGACACCCACACCGCGGGGAUAGAAAUGGGGUGGGGGCAAAAUAUUUUUCCCCCGCCUUAAAACGGGGCGGGGGGCGGGGAAACAUACACCCGCCCCAUCCCCCACCUCGUCCCCCGCAUAUAAUAAUAAUAAUAUAUAUAUAUAUAUAUAUAUAUAUCCUAAAUUUUCCAAAGUUGUACCCUUACUUACAAGUACAACGUUAGUCAGUGUCAACGGCCGCCGCAACAACUGAAGAAAUUUUUUGGACUAUUGUUGAUUUGUUUCUAACGCCCCCCUCCCCCAAAGACUAAGCUAUCCAAUUCUAACAUGUUUUGGUCCUAACCCUUUUUUAUUUCGCUCGGUUUCCUUCCUCCGCACUAAAUGUAACUUGAUUUGUUAUACUUUAUUUCCAUCUUGACAACUUUUUAAUUUUAUUUAAUAUUGUUUACAAUUGUAUUAUUGUAAAUAAACAAUUAUGAUAAGUUGAUUUCUUCCUCCGCAGGGAACCGUGGAGGAAAUGGGACAGGGGUAGGGCGGGGGAUGGGGUGGGGGACGAGGGACGGGGGGUGGGGGAAGGAUCCCCCGCCCCAUUGCCAUCCCUAAACGUGUGCGUAGGAGAUAAGAAGAUGAGAAAUGAGAAUUCUGAUCAGCUAGUCAUUCAGAGAAGCAAGAAUAAGGAAAAUUAGUAAUCAAUUUAGUCCUAUUCAACAAGAGGCCAUUUCUUUGCGUAAUUGGUUAGAGCAUCUUUGCAGGGCCAUUUCUACUCCUGGCCCAAGAAACUACAAAGUCGUUUACUUGUUUUUAAUCAUCUCGACCGAGUUUGGACUUAGCCACUCUGGGCUACCAAUGAUAAUUUCAUGCAAACUUCCACUGAACAUCCUCAACAAUUAGGAGUUAAUUAGAAGAUGCCAUCCCAUUCUUAUUCUUGAAUAUGGCAAGUGAAAAGUUUUUAAUUUCAGUCUUUGCUAUUUUGGUGUCACUUGCGUGAUAUUAGUAAAAAGAAAAAAUUGUGGGAUUAUAAAUAAAAAAAAAGCAGCCACAGAAAUUGAGAAUGCAAAUUCUGUCUAGCUAAAUGAAACCUAAAUUGAUGAUCAAAAUUGUAAUCAAGGGAUAAAAGCUAUGAUAGCAGUAAUUUUAAUUGGAAAGUAGCAUAAAAACAGCAAGAACUUGUUACUGUACUUUUUCUUUAGUACAGUAAGUCAGUCAGUAGUAUAAAGUUACCAUAUGCACGACUCCUUAAUUUACAGACAUUUUGCCAUAAGUUCAUAACUUUUGGAACACAUUAGUCUUGCAGUAACAUUGGUGCUUUGAUUGUUCCCUUACAUACUCUUAACUAACAAGAAAAGGGAAGGGAUGUAUUGGGUGUACGAAGAAAGAGAAGGGAGUGUAAGUGAGAAGUGUCUCGGAUUCGAAAUCUCUUACUUAGGUUAAAAAGAAGGUUAAAAAGAAUGUUAAAAAAGAUUAAAAAGCAAAAGAAAUGACAAGUGUUAGAUAUGUUGGGAAGUGUUAAAAAAUUCAUGAAGUACAUAUCCUUUCUACCUGGCAAAUUUUGGUUUUGCUUUUUGAUCAGAUAAUGACAGUCAUGGCACUGACUUUGAAAAAAAAUCUAAAUUAAUCUUUGGCUAUCCUAUCUUCAAACAAGACUCCAGCCUAGCGCUAAAGACUAGAUCAAAGGGA
rnacentral:lncRNA from 1 species